CCAAAGAUCCAAUUGAAAGAGGGGGGAUACUGGCAUGAAUUCCAAGGCUCUUUAUUUUCACCUUCGAUUUCUAUCAAUGACAGAGACCUUGCCGACCGCUUAGAAAAGGAUCGCUGCGAUGAUGGAGUUUUCGACGACUUGAGUCUUCCCAGCGCUUCUCCAAUCGUUGAAGUACCAUUAUUCACACACGAUCUGACCCUUUUCAAAUGCAACACCACCUUAGACAAAAAUUCUUACCCACAACUUAAUUAUGGCUGCGGAAAUGCUAACCAUACUUAUUAUACCGCUUCAUUUAGCAGUAGUUUAACUAACCCCCCGCCGCCAGGGUGUGCAACCAUUCAGGUCCCCAUAGUUCCGUCUCCGUCUCAACCCAUCACGUUGUCUUCAUUGACUGCUGAGUUUUCCCUCGAAGUGGAAGCACGAAAAUGUUAUCAAUGUCGUGAAAGAAAAGGUGAAUGCCUGGUUGAAUAUGGAAAUUAUAAAUGCGCCGCCAGAGAAAAAGGUAUAUACAUUUACAUGACCUGUUUUUUCAUUCUCUGACGUACGAUAAUCCGAUUCCUUUCUUCAAAUGAUAUAAGGCCAUCUCCAACCGAUGGCUGGCCAUAUUUGCCUCCGUCUCCAACCGAGGGCCAGAGGGCCAGAGGGCUCGUUUUAGCCCUGUAAAAAAAAACCGUCUCCAACCGAGGGCCAAAGGGCCAUAGGGCCAAACAUAAUUUAUUAUUUAAAAAUAUUUAAAAACUACAACUUAAUUUUAUUUAAAAAUCAUGUUGGUUAGUGUUGUAUAAUUUUUAUGUCGGUUAAUGUUAUUUAAUGUUGUUUCAUAUUGUUUAAUGUUGUUUCAUGUUACUUAAUUUAAUUUAAUGUUGUAUAAUGGCUUAGGAAGUUAUAGGAAAAAAUUAGAAUUUAAAAAAAAUAUGAAACAAAUUUUGUGAAAUAGAAGUUAUAGGAAAAAAUGGAAUUUAAAAAAAAAAUAUGAAACAAAUUUUUUGUAAAAAUAGAAGUUAUAUGAAAAAAAUAUGACCCAAAUUUUGUAAAAUAUAAGUUAUAGGAAAAAAAUAGAAUUAAAAAAAAAUUGAAACAAAUUUUGUAAAAUAGAAGUUAUAGGAAGUUAUAGAAAAAAAAAAGAAAAAAAAGGUUUAAAUUCAUAAAAAAAAAAAAAAAAAGGAUUUACAACGGCUAGUGGCGCUAGCCGUUGGAAGUUUGAAUUCAAAAUGUUAUUUCUGUCGGUUGUAACCGACAGAAAUAAGAAACAUUAAAAAAAAAAAUAGCCAGCCCGGGGCUGGCUGGCUGGCCGAAAGCAGCCAGCCCUCCAGCCCUCCAGCCCUCUCUGAUCCCGUGGGGCCCUCCCAGAUUCCCGAGCCCUCUGGCCUAGCCCUCGGUUGGAGACGGUUUUAGGGCUAUUUUCGGCCCUCUGGCCCUCUGGACCCUUCGGUUGGAGAUGGCCUAACUAACAGUUUAUCGAGACACAAAGUAUUAAAUGAUUGUUAUAUAUGCAUUAGCCUCUUUUUUUUUUUGAAUGGUAACAUAAUUUAUGCCACUUCCAUCUUCUGUAAUUUAGUUAACAGCAGUUUUCAUUGCAAUUCAUGUUGCAGGAGAUAAGCAGGUGAAAUUGAAGCUAGGACUAGGUAAGAUUGAUAUCUCUACAUUUAAGAUAUCUAAUUGGUAUGCAUACUCAUCUAGGACAAGUGCUAGAACCAAAGCACGGAAAUCAGUCAUUCCCCAAUCCCUCUGGAUUAAUUUUCUAGGAAUCACGGAAUGAGCAAGCGUUUAAACACGUUGGCAAAGUCCAUUGAUUGCUCUGCAUAACAUACCUUCAAUCAAAUUUAACUCUCCUUUAACAGUUGGUGCAGCUUCUGUUAUCGUCGUUCUAGUUGUUGUCUGCUGUUUCUUUUGGAAGAAGCGUAUCCAAAAACAUCAAAUUGUUGAGGCCCUUCUAAGGAGCUACGGGCCGCUUCAAGUUCAAAGGCAUAGCUAUUCGGAGGUCAAGAAAAUGACCAACUCCUUCAAAGAAAAAUUAGGACAAGGAGGCUAUGGUGCUGUUUACAAAGGAAAGUUAAAGGACGGCCGUCUUGUAGCAGUGAAGGUCUUGACCAAACUGAAAGGAGAUGGAGAAGAAUUUAUGAAUGAAGUGGCAGCCAUUAGUCGAACUUCCCAUGUCAACAUCGUCUCCUUGUUGGGCUACUGUUUUGAGGGUUCGAAGAGGGCUCUGAUCUAUGAAUUCAUGCCUAAUGGAUCGCUCGAGAAGUUCAUAUUUGAUGCAAGUACUCCCAAGAAUGAUCAUCAUCACUUGGGAUGGGAAACUCUGGAUCAAAUUUCACUGGGUAUUGCUCGAGGAUUGGAGUACUUACAUCGUGGUUGCAACACACGAAUUUUGCAUUUUGACAUCAAGCCUCACAACAUUCUUCUCAGUGAAAAUUUCACCCCAAAAAUCUCGGAUUUUGGCCUUGCCAAAAUAUGCAACAGGAACGAGAGCAUUGUGUCGAUGUUGGGAGCUAGAGGUACAGCAGGUUACAUUGCUCCAGAAGUAUUUUCUCGAAACUUUGGAAAGGUCUCACACAAGUCCGAUGUGUACAGCUACGGAAUGAUGCUUUCGGAGAUGGUUGGAGGAAGAAGGAACAUCGACACUGAAGCUGAAAAUACAAGUGAAAUAUAUUUUCCGCAUUGGAUUUACAAGCGUCUUGAACUGGACGAAGAGAUUGGUCUGCAGAGUGUUACGAAUGAGGAAGACAAAGUAAGAGCAAGGAAGAUGAUCAUAGUGAGCUUGUGGUGCAUACAAACUGAUCCUUCCAACCGGCCAGCGAUAAAGGAAGUGAUAGAUAUGUUGGAAGGGAGUGUUGAUUCAUUGCAGAUACCACCCAAGCCUUACUUGUCUUCUCCUCCAAAAUCCCCGGUAGAUUCUUCUACCACAUUGGUAUCAAUUCAGUAAAAAUCCUGUAUUUUACUUGAACAAAUCUAUGUUUUUUCUGAGGCAAUCUGAAUAAUAAAGUAAGCAUUUCAUUUUUGUUUUGUUCAUUUCUAUAGAUGAAUGAAUCAACACAGUAGGAGCGACCCUCUUACUACCACUCCUGCAAUCAUUAUAUAUUCAACACAAUUACAAACGCUUUAAUCAAUCCAAUUUAGGGAAACUCAAAGAUGGCCGGGAAGUUGCAGUCAAGUUCUUAUAUGAACACAAUUACAAACGCGGCGCCCAAAUCAUGUACCCUCUUCCAUGCCAUCCGGCUGAAAUCCAGUUUAUAUGCUUUGAAAUCAUGUGUUUCAAGAACAGCAUCAGGUUCGGGGCUAUAAAACCUACAAACAAGUAGAAGCUCUCCACAAGAUUGCACAAGAUACUUCAACACACCGUAAUUUUCCUGCUCCUCGGACAUUUUUACUUAAUGGCUAUCUGUUUUUAUCUCAUGAUCAUCCUCUGUUCUGAUGGCAGCAAGAACAUUAGUAACCUUAAUCUUCGAAAUGCUAUAGUCACUGCUUAGAAGAUAGAAACUUCCAUCUGAGAAGACAGCAUCCUCAAACGGCUCACCAUCUAGCUUAUGUUUAAGCCAUGAUUGAGCUCCGCGGACCCAAAAUGCAAGCUCCCGGUGUUGACUAUGAACUCAAGGUUGUAACAAUCGACUUCUUUCACUAGAAUCAACCAAUCUUGAUAUGAUCCCCAAUCUUGAUUAUGUAAUAUGCUAAGACAAGUCCACAAGUCCUUACAUGUCCGUCUCUGUGGCCAGAAGUCAUGAGCCACGGGACGGGACACCACGCCUUUGCCAACAAGAAAGUUCCUGUCCAAUAGCGUUUCUCCAAGCUCUGCAAACAUCAUUAACAGAGAUACAAUCAAUCAGAGGCUGUCGCUCAAAGAUAAUCUCCAGUGUAGUGUGAGGCAGCUCUUCCCAAUUCAAAUUCCAUGUAUAACAGAUGUGGAUAGAAAGAUUAUACAUUUUGUGAAGGCAAAUAACUCCCUUGCUACCUUGUAACAUGCCUCUUAUCAGUUCAAAAUCAAACUAGAAAAAACUUUCUAGAUAAUCUUUAAAUCUUUACAGGUAAAUCUCAAAAAUUGGGAUGCCAUUGUUUUCACUACAGCAGCAGUAAUUGUUCCUCGGAGUCUAACACUGCACGCGAACAAAUAAAAUGAUUCCCGAACAAAAAAAAGCAGAGACACAAACAAUCAAAACCUGAAUUGCAAUAACAAAUUGAUUGCCUGGAGAUAAAAUCGUUAGGUCCCAACUCGAAGAGAAUGCAAGCUUUUAUAUUUUAUAAGAGAUCUCUGCAAGAAGGAUGCUGUAUAUUAUCAACAUUCUCAAUUCCUUAGUUAAACCCAUGAACACGAAGAUGAUAUUUGACUCCGAUUCCACAAGCAAAUAGCUAAAACAAUCGAACCGCGUUCACACGUUGUUAACCAACAAAGAAUCGUUCCAAUGAGUUCAAAAAAUUGCAAAGAAGGGCAUGAAUCCGUGAUGAAUCACAGAAACAAGUGCUCUGAUCAAAACCACUUUCAAUAAAGUUGGAAGCUUUUUAAGUUUUAAGUGCAUUUUACUUAAUACCCAAUUCUUGCAUGCAACAGUCAAAAGCUUUAUUAACUCCCUAAUCAGUUCCUAACCCACCAAAUCAUCCCAGAUUUUACAAUCACAAAAUUUCUUAUUCCUUAAGAGAGUAAAUUGUAGCAAUGAUCUUUUAACUUUAAUCAAAUUAGAGCAAUGAUCCAUCAACUAAAAAUCCAUUAUCAUUUGUCCCUCAACUUAUCGAAAUGUGUAGCUAUAGUCAUUUUCAUCAAUUUCGUCAAAAUUUUAUCAAAAUAAGUUAUGUUGGAAUAACCAUUUAUAUAAUUAGGGUCCCUCAACUCAUCAAAGUGUGUAAUUAUGGUCAUUUUCGUCAACUACGUCAAAAUUUUUGUCAAAACGAGUUAUGUUGGAAGGACCAUUGCUACAAUUGGGUUAAAGUUAAGGGACCAUUUUUCCAGUUGAAUUAAAGUUGAGGGACCAAUGGUAAUGAAUUUUUAGUUGAGGGAUCAUUGCUCCAAUUGAGUUAAAGUUAAGGGACUAUAGCUACAAUUUACUCUAAAACUUAACCAAAAACAAAAAAAGGAAAGAAGUCUCUGGAAUAUACCGGUUCGUCUCCUUUUUAACCGAAACGGUGCGCAUGAAGGUUUUAAUUCCUCGUUUUGUUAAAAAUAUUGUCUGGGUUGGGUAAACUCAAUAUGGGCCUCUAAAACGGGUCAUGUAGCGGUCCAGUUUAGCCCAUUUACUUUGUAAAUUUUUUGUUAGGGAUGAGUAGCUCAGCUUACUUUCUGAACAACGAAAAAGCCCAAUGUACUUUAUUUAUUUAUAGUAAAAUAGAAAUGUUAUAAUAUGUAAAAGUUAAAGGGAUAACCUUUUAGAUAGGUGCGAAGCAGAUGUAAAAUAUCACACUAAAACUAUAGCUCAAGUGAAUGACAAAUAAAAGAUGGAGGAAUGAAUGAUAUUAUUGAUCCCUUUGUUUUGAUUUGUAUUCUCUGUAUCUUAUCUCUGUAUAUACAUCGAUGGCAGUAGGAAUGCUCUAUUUAUAGAGUGAAUCCAUACACAAAUUCUUAAAGUUUGAAAUUUACAACAUUUUGUUUCCAAACUCUUCAUCAUAUUUGUGUAGGUAUUGACAAAGAACUUAUGUGGGCAUUCAUCAGAUAGCCGAUGGUUUCAUCAGUUAAUGUUUUCAACUGCCAAUAUUGACUGCCAAUGGUUUCAACACUCCCCCUUAGAUGCCCACAUAUCAACAUUAGUUGCCUCGUUAAAACCUUGCUUGGAAAAACCCAGUGGGAAAAAACCAUAGCGAAGGAAAAAGAGUACAACUUUACCUGGAUUGUUAAUAUAGUGUUAAGUAUGCUUAUGUUGCCUCGUUAAAACCUUAAUAGGAAAAACCCAGUAGGAAAAAUCUUAAUCGAAGGAAAAAGAGUACAACAAGCAUGUAUCAUGGAUGCUCCCCCUGAGAUGUAUCUCCCAUUAAUUCCGCAUUCUUCAAAUUUAGCUGUUUGGUAAGUCGACGUAAUCCGAUACUUUGCACUAACUUUUGAAACGUGCAUUUUGGUAGAGACUUGGUGAACAAGUCUGCCAGAUUUUCAUUAGAACGGAUUUGUCUGACUUCAAUAACUUUAGCCUUCUUAAGCUUAUGUGCACUGAAAAACUUUGGAGAUAUGUUUUUAGUCUUAUUGCCCUUGAUGAAUCUUUCCUUCAUUUGGGCAACAUAGGUUGCAUUAUCUUCAUGAAUGACAGUUGGAUUGUCUAUCUUCGAAGUCAAACCACAUGAAUUCCGAAUAUGAUAGAUUAUUGAUCUUAACCAAGAACAUUCACGACUUGCUUCAUGUAAAACAAGUAUUUCUGAAUGAUUUGAAGAUGUAGCAACUAAUGUUUGCUUUGUUGAACACCAUGAGAUUGAUGUAUCUCCAUUCUUGAACACAUAUCCAGUUUGUGAGUAGGCUUUAUGCGGAUCAGAGAGGAAACCAGCAUCUGUAUAUCCGACAAGGACCUGGUCAUUUGUGGAGUUCUUUGAGUAGAAGAGACUCAUAUAUGUUGUCCCACGAAGGUAUCGCAAUACAUCUUUGACACCCUUCCAAUGACGAAUUGUUGGAGCAGAGCUAUACCUGGCUAACAAGUUGAUUGAAAAAACUAUAUCUGGUAUAAUACAUUGUGCUAAAUACAACAAAGCACCUACUGCACUCAAAUAUGAUACUUCUGGACCAAGGACCAUUUCAUCAUCUUCUUUUGGACGGAAUGGAUCUGUCUUAAUGUCCAGAGAACGAACGACAAUUGGCGUGCUGAGUGGAUAAGCCUUGUCCAUACUCGCUUCUGGAUUUUUUCAAUGUAAACUGAUUGGUGGACCAAAAUUCCGCUAGCACAAUGCUUGAUCUGCAGGCCAAGACAAAAUUUCGUUUUUCCAAGGUCUUUCAUUUCAAAUUUGCUUUUCAGAUAUUCAGUAGUUUUAUGUAACUUUUCAGGAGUUCCAACUAGGUUCAUAUCAUUGACAUAUACUGCCACUAUAGCAAAUCCAGAGUUGGAUUUCUUAAUGAACACACAAGGGCAAAUGACAUUGUUGAUAUACCCUUUUUAAUCAAAUACUCACUGAGACGAUUAUAUCACAUUCGUCCAGAUUGUUUUAGCCCAUACAAUGGUCGUCUUAAUUUGAUCGAGAGCAUACCUCGUGGUUUGUUAGCUGUUUCAGGCGACUUGAGUACUUCUGGGACUUUCAUAUAUAUGUCAGUAUCUAAUUCUCCAUACAGAUACGCAGUGAUAACACUAUAAGUCGCAUGUCAAGCUUUUCUGAAACCACUAAACUUAUUAAGUAACGGAACGUAAUUGCAUUCAUUACAGGAGAGUAUGUCUCCUCAUAAUCAAUUCCAGGUCUUUGUGAAAAUCCUUGUGCAACGAGUCGUGCUUUAUAUCUUGCAAUCUCAUUUUUCUCAUUGCGUUUCCAUGUGAAUACCUAUUUGUAACCCACAGGAUUUACACCAGACGGGGUUUGGACUACUGAUCCAAAAACACUUCAUCUUUCCAAGGAAUUUAAUUCUGCCUGGAUUGCAUCUUUCCACUUAGGCCAAUCUUGUCUCUGUUUGCACUCAUCAACAGAGUGGAGCUCAACAUUAUCAUUUAAUAUGAUUUUAGUGGCUACUGCGAAUGCAAACAUAUCGUCAAUGAUUAUUUCAUUCUGAUCCCACAAUUCAAUAGUACGUGCAUAAUUUAUGGAGAUUUCAUUGCUUUCAUGUACUUCUGUCUCUUCAGGGACAUGUGUUUCAUCAAGGACAUUUUCUUCUUCUAGAAGUCCAGAAUCAUGAAUUGUAGAUUUGUCAUUCAUUCCCUCUUCCUGAAUGAUUUCAUUUGGAUUCAGCUGUGUCAUUGUCUUUCUCUUUUGAGGGGCUGAAUCUUUUGAACCUGGUGGUCUACUACGCUUCAGGCGUGCACCAGAUGAAUCAUUCGCUGCCACUUUAUUUUGUCCAACAAGGAUCAAUUCUGGCAGGUGCAUUUGCAGCUGGUAUAUGUGAUUUUGUCACUUUCAUAGCAUCAUUAAAUGCAUCUGGCAUUUGAUUGGCAAUGCUUUGAAGAUGAACGAUCCUUUUUACUUCAUUUUCAUAUUGAAUGCUUCGAGGAUCAAAAUGAGACAAGGUGGGAACAACCCAUGUCAGUUAUUUCCGUUCUUUUGGAACAAUUUUUUCUCCCCCUAACGAUGGGAAGAAUGUCUUAUCAAAAUGAUAAUCAGCAAAACGAGCUGUAAACAUAUCACCUGUCAAGGGUUCCAAAUAUCUAAUGAUAGAUGGUGAAUCAAAACCCACAUAAAUUCCCAGUCUACGCUGAGGUCCCAUUUUAGUGCGUUGCGGGGGUGCAAUAGGCACAUAAACAGUAUAACCAAAAACUCGUAAAUGUGAAAUGUUUGGCUGAUAUCCAAACAUGAGUUGUAUUGAGGAGUAUUGGUGGUUGGUUAUAGGUCUCAAUCGAACCAAUGAUGUAGCAUGUAGGAUGGCAUGUCCACAUGUAGAAACUGGCAAUUUGGUUUUCAUAAGCAGAGUGCGAGCUAUUAAUUGAAGUCGCUUGAUCAAUGCUUCUGCUAAACCAUUUUAAGUAUGGACAUGAGGAACAUAGUGUUCAACAUUAAUGCCCAAUAUCAUGCAGUAAUCAUCAAAAGUUUGAGACGUAAAUUCACCAGCAUUAUCAAGUCGGAUUGACUUAAUGGGAUAAUCUGGGAACUGUGCUCGUAAUUUAGUUAUCUGAGCAAAAAGUCUCACAAAAGCUACAUUCUGAGUAGACAAGAGACAAACAUGUGACCAUCUGGUAGAUGCAUCAACCAAAACCAUAAAAUAUCGAAAUGGUCCACAAGAUCGUUGAAUAGGUCCACAAAUAUCCCCUUGAAUUCUUUGCAGAAAUGAUGGGGAUUCAACAUCAACCUUUAGUUGUGAUGGUCUAAUUGAUGGUCUAAUUACCAACUUCCUUUGAGAACAAGCCUUGCAAGGGUUAUUAUUUGAGAUAGCAAUGUCUCUGCUCAAUAAUGGAUGUCCAUUAGAGUUGGUAAUGAUCAUACGCAUCAUGGUGGAUCCUGGAUGACCCAGACGGUCAUGCCAAAACAUGUAAACUUUUGAAUCAAUGAACUUCUGGUUCAUGACAGUAUGUGAUUCAACUGUCUUUAUGUAUGUAUAAUACAAUCCACUUGACAAACUACGCAACUUCUCCAAUAUAUGCUUCUAGGUAUCAUUGGAGGUAAUGCAUAGAUACUCCACAUUUUCUGCACUUUUCAUUUCCAUGUGGUAUCCAUUUAAACGUAUGUCUUUGAAACUCAACAAGUUUCGAGUAGAUCGAGUGGCGUACAUCACAUUUUGUAUGGAUAAUAUUGCCAUUUUGUAACAUAAUCUGGGCUUUCCCUGAGCCUUCAAUCACAUCUAAUUGGCCUGAUAUUGUUGUUACCUUUACUUUUGUAAACAUCAAGUUUGAGAAAUACUUUCAAUCUCGAAGUAUUGUAUGCGUUGUUGCGCAGUCUGCAAGACAGAUAUCUCCGCCAUUUCUCAUGUUCUGAGAAUGAUCAUAGAUUUUAUCCAUGCUCUCUGAGUAAGGGAAUCAGAGUUAAAAGCAAGUUAUAACAAGAAAUUUACAUACUACUUUUAUUGAAUCUGAAAUGCUAGUUUUACACAACAAGUUCAGCAUAAUAAAAGUACAUCAAACAUAAACGAUUUAGUCAGACCGGUAUACUUCAUUCUCCCUUUCCAUAAUGAAGUUUGAAACAUCUAGGUGGGUUGUGUCCAAUUGCCCUGAUAAAUCAAAUACUGGAUCAGGUAUAUCUAUUGGUUUAGCUUGGUCGAGAAAAUUGGUCUCGACACCCUUCACCUUGAAGGAGGCUUGAUACAGCUCCACCAGAUGUUUUGGGGUACGACAAGUGCGCGCCCAAUGCCCAUUGCCACCACACCUAUGGCAGGCUCCUUCAGAGUUCCUGGGAGCAUUGUUCAUGUGAGCUUUACCUUUGUGGCGAUUCACAUUUUUAAAGCUCGGGCCUGAAUUAUGCCUCGGAACCUGGUUGUGAAACUGACCACCAUGGUUCUUGCCUUUCCUAUUCUAUCGACCUCGCUUGUGGCCACGUCCUCGUUUAUGAUUAUUGCCACCAGAGGAUGUGGCGUUCACUUCGAUGGAAGCAUUAUUCACUUCUGGGAAUGGUGCAGAUCUAGUAGGUCGAGAAUUAUGGUUUUUCAUUAUGAGCUUAUUGUUUUGUUCAACUACCAGGAGCACAGAUAUCAGCUGGUUGUAUUCAGUGUAGCCUCGUGCUCUAUACUGCUGCUGCAUGAGCACGUUAGAGACAUGAAAUGUGUUGAAAGUCUUUUCCAGCAAUAUUUCCUCAAUAAUAGUAUCCUCACAGAGCUUCAUCUGAGAUGUAAUUUUGAACAACGUAGAAUUGUACUCAGCCACUGACUUGAAAUCCUGGAUCCUUAGGUAAGUCCAUUCAUAGCGAGCUCUUGGAAGAAUCAUCGUUGUCUGGUGAUUGUAUCUGCUUCUCAAAGCCUGCCAGAGAGGUAACAGAUCUUCAACCGUUAAGUACUCACUCUUUAGUGCCUCAUCAAGAUGGCGACGAAUAAAAAUCAUAGCCUUCGCCCGUUCUUGAGAGAAUGAGUUGUUCUCUUCCCUGAUGGUAUCUCCAGGAUUCCCUGCUUCCAGAUGGAUCUUGGUAUCCAGUACCCAUGUAAGGUAAUUCUUCCCGGUAAUGUCCAGGACAACAUAUUCAAGCUUUGCCAAGUUCGCCAUUUUCUUUUCUGAAAGAAAAAUGAGAUGUGUAAGAACUUGCAACAAUAUGUAUUCCUGGAGAAAUAUAGUGUUAGAACUUCUGAUUCUUACAAUUUUUUUUUUCAUUUCGAUCUUCAGGCCAAAAUGAUAAGCACUCGAAACUUCUGGCUCAAGAUUUUCAGGGUGAAUAAGGAGGGUGAUUGUAUCGCACCAUUCUCAUUGAAAUAAUGUAACAUAGAAUGGACGAUUAUUCCACAUCACUCAAGUAGCAGGAAAAAUUUAAAUACGCAUAGCAGUGUGGGUGAUUAUAUCGCACCAUCUAAAAUUGCAAUGAAAUUAAACUGCAGGUAAAUUAAAUAUGCAGGGCAGGGCAGGGCGGGCGAUUAUACGCUCCACCUAAAAUUUGCAGUAAAAUAAAAUUUAUAAUUCAAGAUAGGCGAUGAUACCGCACCAUCUUGGAUUGCAGUAAGAUGAAAUUUGCAGUUCAAGAUGUGCGAUUGUACCGCACCAUUUUGGAUUGCAGUAAAAAUAAAUACUGGGUUAGUAAUCAAUAUCUAUACCAAACAAAAAAUCAAAGAUGUAUGUAACUGUUCGUUGGAGAACUAGAAGCAAGCAUGGAGCAAACAGUUCGUCGUGAGGGUAUACCACGCAAUUGAGGCAGAGGAAAAAGAUGAAGAGUAAAAACCUUAGAGGAAACAUUUUUUCUUUCGGCGAGAGGAAUGAGAAAUAGUUAUAUUUAGAGACUCGUGCUGAUAACGUGUUAUAAAUAUGUAAAAGUUAGAGGGAUAACCUUUUAGAUAGGUGCAAGGCAGAUGUAAAAUAUCACACUAAAACUAAAGCUCAAGUGAAUGACAAAUAAAAGAUAGAGGAAUGAAUGAUAUUAUUGAUCCUUUUGUUCUGAUCUGUAUUCUCUGUAUCUUCUCUCUGUAUAUACAUCGAUGGUAGUAGGAGUGCUUUAUUUAUAGAGCGAAUCCAUAUGACAAAUUCUUAAAGUUUGAAAUUUACAACAUUUUGUUUCCAAAGUCUUCAUCAUAUUUGUGUAGGUAUUGACAAAGAACUUAUGUGGGCAUUCAUCAGCUAAUGUUUUCAACUACCAAUAUUGACUGCCAAUGGUUUCAACAAGAAAAAGAUUUUAAGAAGAAAUUUAAAUAGAGCCAUGCCCUCUACAUAUUUAUUUUUACUUUUCACACGAACCCAUUUAAACCGGUGGAGAAAAUGGCAGUCACAAACGACCAAAUUUGUCAUGACGUUUUACUAAAUUAAAUUCCAACGUUAGUACUGUUACUAGGAGAUGCUUUUCAGGCUUUCAGCUUUGAAGCUGUUCAGUGAUCAGGCAAAUAAGUAGACCCACAAGCAAGACGGAACGGAACAUGUUUCACUACGCGACGAGUGAACACUGAACACUCAACUCAAUCCUUUCCGUAAUCAGUGGGGUUCGGAGCAGUUGCAAGGAUUUUUUAAUGUUAUCUUUUAAGAGUCAAGGGGUCAAAGUCUUUCUGGUGCUUGUCAGUGGGGAAGUUGAGAAGUCUUCCGGUCUCCAGUCAAGCAACGUGUACAUGGAUAGUUCCCACAAGUCUUCCAGUCUCCCAAAUUCCAAGUGAACAGGGGUGUUACUAUAUUGCAAACAAAGAAUUCUCAACCUCUACAAGUUAUCACUCUUGUUCUGAAUUAGAGGAGUAGAUCUUCUUAUUCUUCUUCCUUUGCGGCGCUUUCUUCUUGUUGAUCAGUUGGGAAUUCUCGGAUGGCUCCGGUGGCUUUGUUUAUUCUCUCCGUUCUUGCUCACCUUGUGGUUCUGCACUCUGCUGAAGCCAAACAUUGUCCAGUCCAAUUCUGCAGCUCAGCAGGCAACAUCAGCUUCCCCUUCAAAAGCACGGGAGAUCCUCCUGAAUGCGGAUUGUUCACAGUCGAUUGUUCAGACCCCGAACGGCCAAGAAUCCAAUUGAAAGGGGGAGGAUACUGGCAUGAAUUCCAAGGCUCUUUAGCGUCCACUUCGAUUUUUAUCAAAGACAGAGACCUUGCCGGCCGCUUAGAAAAGGAUCACUGCAACGACGGAGCUUUCGACGAAUUGAGUCUUCCCAGCGCUUCUCCUAUCCCUGGAGUAUCAUUAUCCACACUCAACCUUACCCUUAUCAAAUGCAACAUCUUGGACAAAACUUCUUCUCCACAACCUAAGGAUGGCUGCGGAAAUACUUACCAUACUUACUAUAUCAAUUCAUCUAACAAUAAUUUACCUAACCCUCUGCCACCAAGGUGUGAAACCAUGCAGGUCCCCAUGCGUCCGUCUCAACCCAACAUGUCCUCUUCAUUGACAGCUGAGUUUUACCUCCACGUGUCAGCACCAGAAUGUUUUCGAUGUACUGAAAGCAAAGGUGAAUGCCUGGUUCUAGAGGGAAAAUUUAAAUGCGCCAAAGGUAUACACAUUUACAUGACCUUUCUUUCUUUCUCUGACGUGCGAUAAUCUGAUUCCUUUAUUUAUGCCACUUCUAUUUUCUGUGAUUUAGCUAACAGCAGUUUUCUUUGCAAUUCAUGUUGCAGGAGAUAAGCAGUUGAAUUUGAAGCUAGGACUAGGUAAGAUUGUUAUCUCCGCAUUUAAAUAUCUAAUUGGUAUGCAUACUCAUCUAGGACAAGUGCUAGAACCAAAGGACGGAAAUCUGUCUUUCCCCAAUCCCUCUGGAUUAAUUUUCUAGGAAUCACGGAAUGAGCAAGCGUUUGAACAUGUUGGCAAAGUCCAUUUAUUGCUCUGCAUAACAUACCUUCAAUCAAAUUUAACUCUCCUUUAACAGUUGGUGCAGCCUCUGUUAUCGUCGUUCUAGUUGUUGUCUGCUGUUUCUUUUGGAAGAAGCGUAUCCAAAAACAUCAAAUUGUUGAGGCCUUUCUAAGGAGCUAUGGGCCGCUUCAAGUUCAAAGGCAUAGCUAUUCGGAGGUCAAGAAAAUGACCAACUCCUUCAAAGAAAAAUUAGGACAAGGAGGCUAUGGUGCUGUUUACAAAGGAAAAUUAAAGGACGGCCGUCUUGUAGCAGUGAAGGUCUUGACCAAACUAAAAGGAGAUGGAGAAGAAUUUAUGAAUGAAGUGGCAGCCAUUAGUCGAACUUCCCAUGUCAACAUCGUCUCCUUGUUGGGCUACUGUUUUGAGGGUUCGAAGAGGGCUCUGAUCUAUGAAUUCAUGCCUAAUGGAUCGCUCGAGAAGUUCAUAUUUGAUGCAAGUACUCCCAAGAAUGAUCAUCAUCACUUGGGAUGGGAAACUCUGGAUCAAAUUUCACUUGGUAUUGCUCAAGGAUUGGAGUACUUACAUCGUGGUUGCAACACACGAAUUUUGCAUUUCGACAUCAAGCCUCACAACAUUCUUCUCAGUGAAAAAUUCAUCCCAAAAAUCUCGGAUUUUGGCCUUGCCAAAAUAUGCAACAUGAACGAGAGCAUUGUGUCGAUGUUGGGAGCUAGAGGUACACCAGGUUACAUUGCUCCAGAAGUAUUUUCUAGAAACUUUGGAAAGGUCUCGCACAAGUCUGAUGUGUACAGCUACGGAAUGAUGCUUUCGAAGAUGGUUGGAGGAAAAAAGAACAUCGACACUGAAGCUGAAAAUACAAGUGAAAUAUAUUUUCCGCAUUGGAUUUACCAGCGUCUUGAACGGGACGAAGAGCUUGGUAUGCAGAGUGUUACAAACGAGGAAGACAAAGUAAGAGCGAGGAAGAUGAUCAUAGUGAGCUUGUGGUGUAUACAAACUGAUCCUUCAAAUCGGCCAUCGAUGAAGGAAGUGAUAGAUAUGUUGGAAGGGAGUGUUGAUUCGUUGCAUAUACCACCCAAGCCUUACUUGUCUUCUCUUCCAAAAUCCCCGGCAGAUUCGUCUUCUCCUCCAAAAUCCCCGGCAGAUUCUUCUACUACAUUGGUAUCAAUGCAGUAGAAACCCUGUAUUUUACUUGAACGAAUCUAUGCUUUCUGAGGCAAUCUAAAUAAUGAAGUAUGCAUUUCAUUUUUGUUUUGUUUUUUCUAUAUAUGAAUGAAUCAACACAGUAGGAGUGUCACUCCUACUACCCCUCCGGCAAUCAUAUAUAUAUAUAUAUAUAUAUAUAUUCAACACAAAAUGUGUGAAACAUUUGCAUUUCUGGCUCAGGCCAGUGGACUAGGAUAGUGUGCCCGCUUCAUGCAUCUUGUGAAGCCACGUGAUUCUAUUCUAACAAACAGUGAAGAGAAUUGAAGCUGUGUUGAAUUUCGGAGUUUUUGCAGCACCUUUAAAAAUGAGUGGAUAGGCCAUAGGCGGUACCCCAUUACUUGAAAAAUAACUCUAUGGUGAUGCUGGAUGAAUUUCCAAGUGACAAGCAUAUUGCAUAUGAUCAACUUAACCAAAAUUAUUGAUGCACGCCGCCAAUAUGAUUAAAAUAAAAUUCCGAUUUUAGACCUUAGCUUUUGAAAUGAACAAAAAAUGCGAUGUAACGGCAUAUGUCUGAUUCAAAAAUGAUUGGUUGAAUCCUAGAAAUACUAUUUGAUCGCCCAAAUCAUGUACCCUCUUCCAUGCCAUCCGGCUGAAAUCCAGUUUAUAUGCUUUGAAAUCAUGUGUUUCAAGAACAGCAUCAGGUUCGGGGCUAUAAAACCUAAAAACAAGUAGAAGCUCUCACAAGAUUCCACAAGAUACUUCAAUACACUGUAAUUUUCCUGCUCCUCGGACAUUUUUACUUAAUGGCUAUCUGUUUUUAUCUCAUGAUCAUCCUCUGUUCUGAUGGCAGCAAGCACAUUAGCAACCUUAAUCUUCAAAAUGCUAUAAUCACUGCUUAGAAGAUAGAAACUUCCAUCUGAGAAGACAGCGUCCUCAAACGGCUCACCGUCUAGCUUAUGUUUAAGCCAUGAUUGAGCUCCGCGGACCCAAAAUGCAAGCUCCCGGUGUUGACUAUGAACAAGCAUGCAAACAAGGUUUUCGACAGAAGGAAGCGCAGAGAGAACCAUCUUGUGAUAAAAAUUCCAUGUUUUGGGAAGAUUAGUUUUCUUCCUAGAGAAUGGAUUCAACAAACGAAUGUCAAGGUUUUAACAGUCGACUUCUUUCGCUAGAAUCAACCAAUCUUGAUAUGAUCCCCAACAGUAUCUUCCAAUAGCCUGAGGAAGCACUAUCUCCCAAUCUUGAUUCUGUAAUAUGCUAAGACAAGUCCACAAGUCCUUACAUGUCUGCCUCUGUGGCCAGAAGUCAUGAGCCACGGGACACCACGCCGUUGCCAACAAGAAAGUUCCUGUCCAAUAACGUUUCUCCAAGCUCUGCAAACAUCAUUAACAGAGAUACAAUCAAUCAGAGGCAGUCGCUCAAGGAUAAUCUCAAGUAUACCCUGAGCCAGCUCUUCCCAAUCCACAUUCGUAAACUUCUGCUUCUUCCGCCUUUUAUUUCUCCUUCAAUCCAUCAAAGCUCUAUGACUCUACAGAUAGCAAAUAAUAGUGUAAAUACAACGUCAAAAAAGUGUAAAAAUUACAGCACUAACAUUCAAAUUCAAUGCAUAACAGAUGUGGAUAGAAAGAUCAUACAUUUUGUGAAGGCAAAUAACUCCCUUGCUACCUUGUAACAUGCCUCUUAUUGAUAGGUUGAUAAAUGUGUUGACGUGUCAUGUUGUAAUUGGGUGUUGUAUAGAAGUAGUUAGAAGGGUUGAUUCUGUUGUAAGCUAUAAAUACCAUUGUGUAGUGUAAUUAUUGAUCAAGAAAUGAAAAAGGAUAUUCAAUUUCACUCUCUCUCUAGUUUGUUAAUUUUCUCACUCUACAAAUACUUUCUGGAAAUCUUUAGUGUUUACAUGGUAUCAUCGCCGAUCAUGGCCACGGCCAUCGAUUGACGACCUGGUGCUUCCGCUCGUCUUUUGUGCUUUUCGUGUCGUUCUGAAUUCUGUCGGUGGUUCGUUGCUUCAAGUCGGUCGCCUCUGUGAUUGUUGUCGGUGGUGUUCGAUCGCAGUCGGUGCAUGUCGGUCGCCUCUGUGAUUGUUGUCGGUGGUGUUCGAUCGCAGUCGGUGCUCAAACCCUAAGAUUUGGGGUUUUUAUGGUUGCUCGUCAGGUGUUUCUUCUUCUUUCUUACAUCUGCUCUUCGCGAUUCUUCGCUUUCUGCUUCGAUUUGGUCAUUGUAUCUUGUUCGAUUUCUUGUGCAUUGUUUUGCGAUCUUGUUCUUGUGCACCGUUUGCGAGUUUUCUACUGCCUGUUGCUGUGUGUGUUGUGCAAUCUCAAAAUUUUCGUGAAGUAAUCUUGAUUGUUCACAAUGGUUAAUCCAAAUCAAUCGGCUCUUACUCAAUCGCCAAUUUCUUCAUUGAUUCCAAGUGUGGGUAACACUGUGACAGUGAAGUUAGAUGAUUCUAACUAUGUUCCCUGGAAUUUCCAAAUGGAUCUUCUUUUGGAAGGGAAUGGUAUUAUGGGUUUUAUUGAUGGAUCCAUCUCCUGUCCUAAGAAGUUUGAGACUGAUAAAUCUAUCGAUGGUGCUGUUGACACUACUGAGGUUCUCUCUGAUGCGUACAAAAUAUGGAAGAUUCAUGAUAAAGCUCUUAUGACUCUUAUUGCUGCCACUUUAUCUACUUCUGCAUUGUCCUCUAUCAUUGGUUCUCAAAGUGCUAAGGAAAUGUGGGACAAUCUUCGUGAAAGGUUUGCUAGUGUUACUCGUACCAGCAUUGUGCAGUUGAAAAUUGAUUUGCAGAAUAUUAAAAAAGGGCCAGAGUCCAUUGAUCAAUACCUUCAACAGAUCAAGGAUUCUAGGGAUCAAUUGGCUGCUGUUGGAGUUACUAUUUCUGAUGAAGACAUUGUUAUUGUGGCUUUACGGGGCUUACCAUCUGAAUACAAUACUAUCAAAGCUGUUAUUCGUGGCCGAGAAAAUCUGGUAUCUUUAAAAGAACUCCGGUCCCAAUUAAAGGCUGAAGAAUCCACAUUGGCUGAGGUUCACAAGCAAAUUCCUCUAAUGUCUGCUAUGUAUGCUUAGGGUGCUUGAGCUACUUAUGAUUCAGGCCAAUCUUCGGGUCAUAAUGCCUUACAAGAUGAGACCUCUUUGCAUUUUUCCCCGAUGUCUAUGCCACCAAUGCCUAUGCCCAUGUCUAACUAUUCCUAACCAAUGCCUGUUCAGAUGCCUCUGCCUGGUUAUCUCCCGUGUGUUUUUCCCUCUCAAUAUGCUUCUGGUUCAUUUAACAACUUCAGAGGUUCUAAUAAUAAUUUCAAGUCCAAAGGCAAAGCAAACGUUUCUCCUAAGGUUCUCAGUCUUCCUCCCAGUCUCUGUAUGGUGCAAACAAUUCUCAGCAUUUGUUCCCUGCUCCAUUUCCGUCUGUUCCAGCAUAUAAUCCGUCUCAAAUUUGUCAAAUUUGCGAUAAGAAAGGGCAUUCUGCUCUCAAUUGCUUUUAGAAUGGGUGUCAAAUAUGUCACAGGAAAGGCCAUACUGCUGCUACUUGCUUUGACAUGAAUGCUUCCUCACAGUUUCAUAUGGCUGGUUCUUCCUCUCAUCCGAUGACUGUUCAUCCAUCAUUUCAGUUUUCUUCUGUUGGUGAUCCACCUAGCCCUUAUUUUCGUGGACCUCACAUUCAGCAACCUGUUUCUUAUCAAGCUUCUCAACCUGUAGCUAUGCAAGCCAGGGCCAACAUGACUCCAAGUGCACCUCCUCAAGAUUUUUGGCUGCUUGAUUCCGGUGCAACCAACCAUAUGACUUCCGAUAUUGCUAAUCUUUCAGCUGCAGUCCCUUAUCCGUCAACUGAGACAGUCACGAGUGCUGGUGGUGAAGGUUUAAGUAUUGCUCAUAUUGGCAACACUGUAUUUCCCACCAAAUCACAUACUUUUCAGCUUAAUUCUGUGCUACAUGUUCCGAAACUGUCUCAAGAUUUACUCUCCAUGUAUCAAUUAUGUAAAGAUAACAGUUGUCGCUGUAUUGUUGAUGAGUUUUCUAUUUGUAUACAGGACAAGGUCACAGGGCAAGUGUUGUAUCGAGGACUGAGUAACAAUGCAGUUUAUCCAAUUCCAGUUUUCAAGUAUUCCAGCUCAAAUGUGACUACUCCAGCUGCAUUUUUGGGUCAAAAUGUGUCUUCUGAUCUCUGACAUUGUAUAUUAGGCCAUCAUUCCAAUGCUAUUACCACUGCAGCCCUUAGGAAUUCAUCCAUUUAUGUUCCCUGUAAUAAAGAUUCCCUUACUUGUAUUUCUUGUUUACAAGGCAAGUUUUCCAAAUUACCUUUCCCUUGUAUUGCUUCAAAAUCUUUGGUUCCUUUUGAAGUCAUACACUCCGAUGUGUGGGGUCCUGCUCCAGUUGAGUCUUUAGAAGGGUUUCGGUAUUAUGUGUCCUUUGUGGAUGAAUGUACAAGAUAUACAUGGGUUUUCCCUAUUUUCAAUAAAUCUGCAGUUUUCUCUGUUUUUGCUCAGUUUGUUGCCUAUGUUCAAACUCAGUUUAAUGCUACUGUUAAAACACUUCAGAGUGAUGGUGGGGGUGAGUAUGUGGGCUUAGCUUUUCAAGCAUUUCUUAGAGAUAAGGGUAUUGUUCAUCAAAUGCCUUGUCCUUAUACCCCAGAACAAAAUGGGUUAGCUGAGCGAAAAAAUAGGCAUUUAUUGGAAACUGCUAUCACUUUACUUCAAAAAGCAUCCCUGCCUUCUUAUUUCUGGUUUCAUGCUUGUGCUACGGCUUCCUAUCUUAUUAAUAGGAUGCCGACUCCUGUUCUUAAAAUGAAAUCUCCCUUUGAACUUCUGUUUAAGUCUGUACCGAAGCUUGAUCACUUAAGAGUCUUUGGUUGUGCAUGUUUUCCUUUCUUGCGACCUUAUAGGAAUAACAAGUUAGAUCAAAAAACUACCGAGUGUAUAUUUUUGGGAUAUGCUUCUCAAUACAAGGGUUAUAUUUGUUUUUCUCUCAGUACUCAUAAACUCCUUGUGUCUAGACAUGUCAUAUUUGAUGAACAAAGCUUUCUUAGCAUCAGAUUAUCAUCUCCUUCAUCUCCUCCCAAGGCAUCAUAUUCUCCUCCGAAUCCGGUUGUUCAUCCUAAUACAUUUACACAUCCGUUCGUCAUACCUAUUCCUCUACCUCAAGUGUCACCAUCCUUGAGUUCUGGAACUUCAACCCCUGCUAUUACUCAGUCCACUUCUGCAUCAACAUACAACACUGGUGACCUUGUCUCUCCUCCCCUGUCUCCUACUCCUGGAUCGACUGCACAGUACUCUCCCUCUGGACCUGAUGGUCCUUCAGAUCUCCAUCCUGACACUACAUCUUCUCAAGUUGAUACACUGCAGGCUGUCCCAGUUUCCACACUUAACAGUCAUCCUAUGCAAACUAGAUUAAAAUCUGGUAUUGUGAAGAAGAAAGUUUUUCAGCCACGGUUGGUGAUGUUCUUCCUCUGACAGAACCUACUACUUAUUCCGCAGCGUCCAAGUGUGUGGAAUGGCACGCUGCCAUGAACGAAGAAAUGCAAGCCUUAGUUCAACAACAAACCUGGAAGCUUGUUCAUUUUCCUCCCAACAAGAACCUUGUAGGCUGCAAGUGGAUUUAUAAAAUUAAAAAGAAUGCUGAUGGUUCUGUUGCUCUGUAUAAGGCUCGGUUAGUUGCCAAAAGGUUCUCCCAAGAAGCCGGAAUGGACUAUUAUGAAACCUUUAGUCCUGUGGUUAAACCUACCACUGUGAGGUUGGUGUUGUCCUUGGCUGCUACAAAUGGUUGGAAAAUGAAACAGUUGGAUGUUCAGAAUGCCUUUCUUCAUGGCUUUCUUGAUGAAGAGUGUACAUGUCUCAACCACAAGGUUUCCUGGAUCCAAUCCAUCCUGAGUAUGUGUGUAAGUUGGAAAGGUCACUUUAUGGCCUUAAACAGGCUCCUCGAGCAUGGCAUGACAGAUUUUCCAAGUUCUUGCAUUCAAUUGGUUUCAAGUCUUCAUAUGCCGAUUCUUCCCUUUUUGUUCAAAAGGUUGGCAGCGAGGUAGUCAUACUUCUCCUCUAUGUUGAUGACAUCAUCCUCACAGGAAGCAAUGAGCAAUUGGUACAAUCUGUCAUACAUCAACUUACAUCGGAGUUUGAAAUGAAGGAUUUAGGUCUUCUGCAUUUUUUUCUUGGUCUGCAGGUUGAGUAUCAGUCUCAAGGGUUGUUGAUUCAUCAAACCAAGUAUAUCAAGGAUCUCUUACAGAAAGUUAACAUGGUUGAUUGUAAGCCUUGUCUUACUCCUUGUCAUCCCAAUCAAAAGUUGUUGAACCAUGACAGUCCUCCGUUUUCGGAUCCAACCUACUAUCGUAGUCUUGUUGGUGCCUUGCAGUACUUAACCUUCACUCGGCCUGAUAUAGCAUUCUCUGUUAAUCAGGUUUGUCAAUUUAUGCAUUCUCUUCUUGACCAACAUUUUGCAGCCGUAAAGAGAAUUUUGAGGUAUCUUAAAGGAUCCAUGCACUUCGGUUUGUGUUUUCGUUCUGGUCCUAUAUCUUUACGAGCCUACACCGAUGCGGAUUGGGCUGGUGAUCCCAAUGACAGGCGAUCCACUACUGGAUUUGUUAUUUUUCUGGGUUCUAAUCCUGUCUCCUGGAGCUCUAAAAAGGAGCAUACGGUUAGUCGAUCUUCCACUGAGGCUAAAUACAGGGCUAUGGCCACUACCACAGCUGAGGUUGUGUGGAUUCAACAACUCCUCAAGGAUUUACAGGUUUCUUGUCCUGAUCCACCGUUGUUGUACUGUGAUAAUAUUUCAGCAAUGGCACUUGCAACUAAUCCUAUCCUGCAUUCUAAGGCGAAGCAUAUAGAAAUUGACUGUCACUUUGUUCGGGAACGGGUUCAACAAGGUUCUAUUGUGUUGCAGUUUGUGGCCUCUACUGAUCAAUAUGCCGACAUCCUGACUAAAGGCUUAUGUUCUUCUCCAUUUCACUCUUUUUGUUCCAAUCUCAUGCUUGGCUGCUCCAAUCAUGGGAUUGAGGGGGGAUGAUAGGUUGAUAAAUGUGUUGACGUGUCAUGUUGUAAUUGAGUGUUGUAUAGAAGUAGUUAGAAGGGUUGAUUCUGUUGUAAGCUAUAAAUACCAUUGUGUAGUGUAAUUAUUGAUCAAGAAAUGAAAAAGGAUAUUCAGUUUCACUCUCUCUCUAGUUUGUUAAUUUUCUCACUCUACAAAUACUUUCUGGAAAUCUUUAAUGUUUACACUUAUCAGUUCAAAAUCAAAUUAGAAAAACUUUCUACAUAAUCUUUAAAUGUUUACAGGUACAUCUCAAAAAUUGGGAUGCCAUUGUUUGUACAGUAGUAGUAAUUGUUCCUCGGAGUCUAGCACUGGACGCAAACAAAUAAAAUGAUUCCCGAACAAAUACAAGCACAGACACAAACAAUCAAAACCUGAAUUAGAAUAACAAAAUGAUUGCCAAGAGAUAAAAUCGUUAGGUCCCAACUCGAAGAGAAUGCAAGCUUUUAUAUUUUAUAAGAGAUCUCUGCAAGAAGGAUGCUGUAUAUUAUCAACAUUCUCAAUUUCUGAGUUAAACCCAUUACUUUAGUAAAGAAGGCUUUUCAAUUGCAUUGUUCAUAUGAACAGUGUUUGAAGCCGAAUUUCACUUUUUUUACAAAAUUGCCACCGCCUCUUCAGUGCUGUUCAGAUUGGAAUUUUUAUUUAUUUACGAAAUUGCCACCGCACUGUGGACGCGUCAAUCAUCGUGCAAUUUCUUCCUCUCUCAUCAGGUAUCUCACUCUCAUUUCAUUUCAUCAUCUCUCCAGGAAAAAAGUUAAAACCUGGCCACUCAAAUUUCUCUCAACCCGAGCCGUCCCUCAUCUUUCUUCACUCCUCUUUCCUCUUCUCUCGACAGUAGCACUCGAUCAUGUUAUGAUCACAACUCAAAACCUUAACUCAGACCUGCAAGUAUGUAACAAUGGAGGAUAGAGGAAUACAGAGAAGAGCUAGAGAGAGAAGAGUUUUUUUUUUAAUAUAUUUCUUUUGAAUAUUCGUUCUGCCUUUUCUUUCACAAGUGGCUACAUAUAUGGUUCCCCAAAACUCUCAAAGCUAGCUGGAAUGACUAAUUACAAAACAACUUCUUAUUUAAUUGCUAAAAUAUGAUUAAGAUAAUCACAAUUAUAACAUUACCUCGCCCUUCAAUUAAACCUUGUCCUCAAGGUUGCUGUUAAAACUUGAAUCCUGGAAAUUUUGCAGUGAACUCAUCAUAAUCUUCCCAAGUAGAUUCUUUAACGUUCUUGUCCUUCCACUGAAUAAGCAGUUGAACCCCAGCUGCAUUGUUCUUCUUGUAGACCCUUCUUUGUAGUACUGCCAAAGGUUCUUGAGCUUGUAGUCCAUCAUCAAUCACUAGUGGUAAUAGUGGCACAAGAUUAACAUUAGGAUCCACAUGUUUCUUCAAGCAACUGAUAUGGAAGACGGGAUGUAUCUUGGAGGUCUCAGGAAGCUUUAGCUUGUAAGCCACACUACCAACUUUCUCUAAUACUUCAAAGGGCCCAUAGAACUUUGGGUAAAGUUUGUGGAAUGCAUGAGUUGCUAAUAACUGCAGCUGGUAGGGAAUAAGCUUCAAGUAGACCCAAUCUCCCACCUCAAAUGUUCUCUCACUUCUAUUUUUAUCCACAUGUACCUUCAUUCUGUUUUGAGCAAUGAUCAGAUUGGUUUUGAGCAUUGUCAACAUUUUGUCUCUUGCCAUCAGUCCUUGUUCAACACUCUCCAGUUUAGCAGAACCAAGCUCAUAAGAGGCAAUGUGUGAAGGAGGGUAGCCAUAUACAAUUUCGAAAUGUGUGAACUUGGACGCAGUGUGAAAUGAAGUGUUGUAACUCCAUUCAGCCCAAGGAAGCCAUUGGAGUAACUUCUUGGGUUGGCAGCUAGUGAAGCAUCUCAGAUAGGUUUCUAAACAUCUGUUGACAACCCCCGUCUGUCCAUUACUUUGUGGAUGAUAACCUGAACUCAUGCAUAACUUUGAUCUUUGUAGUCUAAAAAACUCCCUCCAAAAGGCACUAAGGAAAAUAGGAUCCCUGUCACUCACUAUGGUCAUUGGCAUGCCAUGCAACUUGAAAAUGUUUUCCACAAAUUCUUGUGCUACCAUGCUAGCAGUAUAUGGGUGCCCCAAUGCUAUGAAAUGCCCAUACUUAGAGAGCCUAUCCACCACCACUAGAACGACUGACUUCCCCUUGCAUGGAGGCAAUCCACAGAUGAAAUCCAUACUUAUAUUUAUCCAGGCUUGCUGUGGAAUUGGAAGAGGCUGCAGUAACCCAGGUGGUGAUAUUGUUUCAUACUUAUUCUGUUAACAAGCCCUGCAUUCAGCCACCCAAGCUUUUAUAUAUUUUUUCAUCCCAACCCAAUAAAAGCCUUUUUUCAAUCUUUGGUACGUCUUCAAUACCCCUUCAUGACCUGCUGUGGGAGUAGAGUGAUGCUCCUAAAAAACUUUUCUCCUCCAGUUAGAAUCAACUCCCAAUACAAUCCUAUGCUUGCAUUUCAAGAAGCCAUUAUCCAGGUGAUACUUAGUAGCAGUGAUAGUAGUUCUAGGAUCUUAACCUUGUACCGCUACUUCUUGUUUCUUUGAUCUAACCCACGGAUCCUGUUCCAAAUCUCUCCUGAGGUCAUCCAACCACCCAAAAUAGGGAUAAGUAACAGCCAGUAAUUCUCCCUUCUCCUCUAAAGGUAGCUCAGAAAGGGGUGGUGACCCUAGAACCCGAGAAAGAGCAUCUGCCACAAUGUUUUCCUUACCAUGUCUAUAUUGCACCUUAUAAUCAAAUCCCAACAGUUUGGACACCCAUUUCUGUUGGAAUGGGGUGUUGGUUCUUUGACUCAAGAAAUAUUUCAGACUGUUAUGGUCUGUUUUGAUAAUGAAAUGACGCCCUUGUAAGUAGUUUUGCCAUUUUUUUUACUGCAUAAACAAUGGCAAUUAGCUCCCUUUCAUAAGUAGACAAUGCCUGAUUUCUUGGACCUAAAGCUUGGCUGACAAAGGCAAUAGGCCUCCCAUGCUGCUGCAAAACUGCUCCAAUACCUAAACCCGAAGCAUCACACUCAACUAUAAAUGGUUCUGCAAAGUUGGGUAGGGCUAGCAAUUGGGGUGAAUUCAUGGCUUACUUCAAUUUCUGGAAUGCUGCCUCAGUUGCUUCUGACCACAUGAACCCCUCACUUCCAGUGAGUUUGUACAAGGGCAGGCAGAUUUUGCCAUAUCCAGGUACAAAUUUUCUGUAGUAACCUGUUAACCCCAAAAAUCCCCUUAACACCUUCACAUUCUUAGGAGCAGGCCACUCCAAUAUAGCUUGGAUUUUUGCAGGAUCCGCAAAGACUCCCUCACAAGAUACUAUAUGGCCAAGGUAUUCCACCUGGUGCUGCCCAAAAGAACACUUUUGUUUCUUAGGUGGUAUCUGAUGUGGACAGUCACAUCAUCUAAAUUAAUUAACAUUUAAUUUCAAAAUGUUAAUUAAUAAAAAGAUUGUUAAUUAAAUGAUGAUUGUGGUAUACGAUGAGUCUUCUUCUUCCACCUAAGAUUAUUUAAGUGUUUUAAUUAAUAAAAAGAUUGAAAUUAAAUUAUGUAGCUUGUCCAACUCAUCUGCCACCUAAGAUGAUAAAGAAAUGUGGUAUAAAAUUGUGGUAAGAAUAGCAUUAUUCUAUUAUUAGUGCGGGAUCCUCUUUGCAUGUAUUGUCAUUUCGCCCUAUUUUCGGGGCAUUGGCUUUUCCUUUUUGGGAUUAUCAAAUAUCUGCUUUGAUAGUAAACAAGGAACCCAGAUCCUCUCCGAAUCCAAAAUCUGAGCUAAGGAUCAAGUGAUCUGGGCCGUUGAAAUUUAAUCAAACGGCUACAAUUACUAUAACUUUAAAGGGAUCCCCCAUGUUUGUAGCCGUUUGAUCAAAUUUUAACGGCCCAAAUCACUUGGUCCUUAGGCUCAGUUUUUAGGGAUCCGGAGAGAAUCUGGGUUCAUAAACAAGAUCGCAGUUAGUAAGUCACAUCCUAGUCUCGACUCCGCCGUAACACGUUAUUGUCCGCUUUGGGCCACGCCUUCACGGUUCUUUUCUUGGGAACUCACACAAGAACUUCCCAGGAGGUCACCCAUCCUAGAAAUGUUAUCGCCCAAACUCGCUUAACUUCGAAGUUCUCAUGGAAUCCGUAGCCGGUGAGUCGCCAAAAGGUCUCGUGCUAUAUGGAAGUGGGCAUGUAUAUAUAAGGCACAUCACCUUCUCUCCGUUGGUCGAUGUGGGAUGUUACAAUCCACCCCCUUAGGGGUCCAACGUUCUCGUCGGCACACUCACACCACACGACAUAGUGGCUUUGAUACCAUUUUGUCACAUCCUAAUCUCGACUCCGCCGUAGCACGAUAUUUUCCGCUUUGAGCCACGCCCUCACAAUUUUGUUAUUGGGAACUCACACGAGAACUUCCCAGGAGGUCAUCCAUCCUAGAAAUGCUCUCGCUCGCACUCACUUAACUUCGGAGUUCUCAUGAGAUCCAUAGCCAGUGAGUCCCCAAAAAACCUCGUGCUAUAUGGAGGUAGGUAUGUACAUAUAAGGCACAUUACCCCAUCUCCGUUGGUCGAUGUGGGAUGUUAGUAUGUAUAAAGUUGAAAUAUCAGUGUCAGUUAGUGUAAUAUAUAAUGAUUUUAUUUUUCAUUUGUAAUUGAGAAAUUUUAAGUUUUAAUCUCAUAAAUAGUAAGUUCGAUAUCAAUUAAUUUUUUCACCUCUUAAUGUAAAUAUAUCGUUGUAUAAAAAAACAAAUUUGAAAUAUUAGCUUUCCUUUGUUGGGUUUAUGAAUUAUCAUCAUCGGCGCAUAUCUUCUUGAUUAAAUCUUCUAUAUAUCUAAUCACUUUAAUACAUCGUUUAAUUGUAAGUACAUGUUUUAACGCUCGACAUUCUAGUAUAUAGUUAGACCAGCCGGUCAAAGAAGCAUGCUCAUCUCCUUACAUUUAAAUUUGAAUCAAUUUUUUCUUUUAUAAAUUACAGUACUCAGAAAACUCACUCGUGUUUUGUAAUAUUAUCUUCAUUAUUUUUUGUUAUGUCCUCAUUUUCCUUUUUCUUUCUUUUUAAAAGUGAGCAAUCAUAAAUCCACUAUACAAGCGUGAUUUUUAACUUUUCAUUUUGGUCCGUUAGUAUAAACAAAGAUUAAUUAUCAUCACUAAUCCUCCUUUGUCUCGUCGUGUCUCAAGCCAAAUUUUCAUUCCAAGAUUCAAAACGAAUUGUCUUGUCAUUUAGUAACGCCUAUUUCUUUUUCUCAUGAAAAAAACCAAGUCAAGACCCGUGUCAUGUACCAUAGUGUGUAAGCUAUAAAGUCCAUUCCUUGUCGCACUCUCGUUUUCUCCUAAGAAGUGCCGUUUGGUCCACGGAUUAGAUCAUACUAGAAAACAGUGCUCGUGUUGCUGCGGGAUUAAAAAUUGUAAGAAAGAUUGUUUCAUAAAAAAUUGUGACAUAGAAGAUUAAUAUUAUUUACAUUGAAAACGUUAGGAAGAUGUUUACAUACAAAAAAAAAAAAGGAUUACGAAUGGAACAUGAAAAGUUUUCAUCCUGUACUGUUGGUUGAGGUAGCAGAAGAUGAUGGCACAUGAACUGAGCUAGUAAAAGUUGUAUUCAACACAAAUAAAAUAUCAAACACGGUUUAUUUUCUUUCAUUUGAAAUCAUAUGGUGUUGCGUUUACUGCAAUAAAAAAAAAAGGUGAAAACACUUCAAGUUAUGACAGAGGUUCAAUUAGCAAAAGCUACAACCCAGUGAGAGUAUGAGUUUAUAUAUUAGAUUCACUCACAUAGAUUAGAUUCUCUCCCUGCCGGCCUCACCAUUUUUAAUCAUUUUCUCUCCCUGCAUCUAAUUUUUUUUUAUAAACUUUUAUAGUUUGUCGUGCCACACAUCAUGUGACCGGUUUUAAUUCACAUUUUUUUCAAAAGACACAACCCAAAUAGAGGGUGACUGGAUGAUGGACGCGUGGAGUGAAUGGAUAAAACAGUAAUUCGACGGUACAAAUGUGGAAACAUCAAGAGAAACAGGUCAAAAUUUGAGGGGUAUUUCCGUCUUUUUACUAUUUAUGAACCGUGCUAAAACUCAAUGAGUUUUAAAAUAUAUAAUUUGAAAAGCCGGCAGAUUAGAUCGUAUUCUGAAGGCCGGAAAUUCAUUUGUUGAAGAACCAAAAGCUCACUCAUUUAAUUUUCCAAACACCAAAUUUAGAAACCUUGUGGUUUUGUUACGUACUUGGUAUGAGUUAUUUCACCCUAAUUUUAUCCGUACUUGUUUUUCCACUACUCACCAUCCAUGCAUCAAAUCACUGCAACCAAUCGUGCCCGAGUUUCGGUCCCAGCCCGAUUCAGUACCCUUUCGGGUUCUCAUCGGGCUGCGAAAUCCAGCUUAACUGCACUCCAAACAGAGGAUUCGCAAUCGGGCGGUUUCCAAUCCAGUCCAUAACCCAGGAGAGCAUAAGAAUCAAUCUCUAGAGCCGUUGCAACCGCCCCCUCCACACCCUCCGCCACCUCUACAGCCGGAAUUACGCCCCGACGUCACGGAACGCGAUUCUUUUACAGAACUGUACGGAUGGGAAGCCGUCGAGCAGCUGCGAGAUUCCCAACAUUCUGGUGCAGGCGCGGUUCGACGCGCCGCCCAACUGCAGCGCCAACAGCAGCCUCAGCUGUUACGCUGAGACCAGAAAGGAUGUCCAAUUUUUGAACUUUGGGAGCGUCAAGCAGAAGGACUGCAAAUUCUUGCUGUCAUCGAUGUCGUCGCCGUCGCCACAACUUUUGAAUACCUCGGCGCCGUCGUUGCUGGAGCUGGAAGUGGUGGAGUUAGAGUGGUGGCUUGAGGGAACUUGCGGGUGUGAUAAGAACGCCUAUUGUACGACGGUCGUAUCGCCAAAUGGGACAGAAGGGUAUAGAUGCAACUGCAAGGAGGGUUUUGGUGGAGAUGGAUACGUUGCUGGGUUAGGCUGCAGGAAAGGUAAUUACUGAUUACAUCUGCUUAAUUACUAACUGAUUACUUCUGCUUAAUUACUUAUCCUUCUUGCUCAUUUGAUCAUUCUUUUUCAACUCAUCCAUGGUGAAUCAUGGAUGUAUCAAAAGUAAAAUAGAGGAACUGUUUGGUUAUAGGUGUAAGGUUAAAGUUGGUUACUUGGUUAUAGGCAUAGAGAGAGUUUAAAAUGACAGAUGGCUUUGAUUUGAUUGAGGAUCCAAGUAUUUUCCUCUUUUUUUUUUUUCUCUUCUAACCCCAUCUUUUUUUUUGUGGCUUAUUAACCGAGUUCUCUUUUUAUUUUAUUUUAUUUUUAAAUUCUUGUAUUAAUUUUUUAUUUUCUCGUUUAAGACAUUCAUUAUAUUUAUCUUAAAUUAUCACAUUAUUUAUAAAUAUUGUAUUAUUUUUUAAAAACAAUAUAAAUAUUGUUUAAUGCUUAUUUUACGAUAAUUUAAAUCUAUCUAGCAUCCUGCCUAGAUCUCGCUUAGGCACUCCAGUUCGUUGUUUGAUUAGCGCCUAACAUUUUUUAGGAUCUAAUCCUGACCAAUUUAAGCUUCUUACAUUGACUUUGAUAUUAUUGCUUACAACUGCUUUGGUUGAGAGAUUAUUUUCUGCUAUGAAUAUUGACUCAAAAUUUUAUACUCUCCAAUGUAAAAGCAACUGCUUCGAUUGAACCUUGCACUCUUUUGAAUUUCGUCUCUCCCCUCUGUAAAUCCUGGCUUUGCCACUGGAUAACACAAUCUUAGAGUCUAAGUCUCCUUCACUUUUAUGACAGUCACAAAGGAUCAAAUUCGACAUGACGUCAUGACGUUUUACUAAAUUAAAUUCCAACGUUAGUACUACUACCAAGAGAUGCUUUUCAGCUAUGAAGCUGUUCAGUGCUCACACAAAUGGACUUGGAUUGUCUGCCCUCUAAUUUUGGUACCCUCUUCGUGCCCUCCUGUUUUUGUGGUCACGGUUAAGCCACGUCAACAUUUUAUAUUAAUAUUUUUUUUUGUUUUAUUAUUUUUAUAAAAAAAUAAUAUAAAAUAUUAAGUGGCUUAACCGUGACCACACAAAACAGAAUGGCACGGGGAGGGCACCGAAAUGGGAGGGCAGAGAAUCCAAGUCCCACACAAAUAAGUCUUUGUGGUGCUUGUCAGUGGGGAAGUUGAGAAGGAAACUCCCCUAAUAGGCCAUGGAAGUCUUUUAAGUCGAGCAACAAUUACAUGGAUAGUUCCCACUAGUCUUCCAGUCUCCCAAAUUCCAAGUCAACAGGGGUGUUACUAUAUUGCAAACAAUGAAUUCCGAACCUCUAAACGAUUCAACACUCUUUUUUUUUUUUUUGAGUGAAAGGCAUAGUUUAUUGCCGACAAAAAACCGAAGUUACAAACCAGAACUUACACAGCCAAGGCCCCAAACGAAAUAUACAACAAAAAGGUGGGCCUUCCGGACAAAGCGGUCUGAGCCUAACCAAGAGAUUAGGCCCAAAAACAUAAACAGACUAAAAGAAAUAGAAAACCCUAGUCUACUGCAACUCCCGCCGCCGCAGCACCUCUCGAUCAUCAUGUUCCAUGAAACCCAACGAAUGCCAUAGAUUCGACCAACCGACGCCUCAGAGGUUGAAGUAAGGAAGAUGCCAUCAUCCAUCAAAGAAGACCUCUCCGAUUGCAGCCACCAAGUAGAAACAACAACGAAGGAAGCUAGUGGGAUCUCCACUUGCGACACUGCCAACAAAGGCAGAAGGAGGUGGUGCGAACACCCGAGCCGGUGGGAACACCGGAGCUCUACACACCUUCUCGAUAUACCGCAACAGAUUGCGGUUGAAAGUGAUGGCGAAUCGGCUAAGGUAAGGUAUUGAUGAAAGAUGGAACCAAAUUAGAAGGAACAAAACGAAUUGAAAAAGGAUGGAGAAGGAAAGAGUGAUUAUUAGGACAUCGGCUAAUAGGAUCGACAGCAUGUGGGGUGGAAAGAACAAACAGAGGGAAAGGAGAACUGGGCCAGAACAGGAGCAGGAGGUAAGGGAGAGAACAGCAAAACACAGAAAGAAAAGACUGCCACCGACCCUAGCCAUAGCUAAGGCCGGCGGCUAAAUGGAAAACAGGAUCUGGAAACCCUCACACAAAGGGGGGAAGAAGAACUCUCACUCACGGAGAGAAAGGCUCUCACUUACGGAGAGAAAAAGUCCGGCUUUUUUAACAAUUCAACACUCUUUGGUCUGAAGAGGAAGAGUAGAUUUUCUUAUUGUUCUUCCUUUGCGGCGCUUUCUUCUUGUUGAUCAGCUCGGAAUUUUCGGAUGGCUCCGGUGGCUUUGUUUAUUCUCGCCAUUCUUGCUCACCUUGUGGUUCUGCACUCUGCUGAAUAUUCAGCAGAGGAACCCGCCAAACUUUGUCCAGUCCACUUCUGCAGUAGCUCAGCAGGCAACAUCAGCUUCCCCUUCAAAAGGCGGGAAGAUCCUCCUGAAUGUGGAUUGUUCACAGUCGAUUGUUCAGUACCCACUCGGACAACGAUCCAAUUGAAAGAGGGAGGAUACUGGUAUGAAUUCCAAGGCCCUUUAUCAACUACGUUUUUUAUCAACGACAAAGACCUUGCCGACCACUUAGAAAAAAAUCACUGCAAUGACGGAGUUUUGGACGACUUGAGUCUUCCCAGGGCUUCUCCAAUCCCUGAAGUAUCAUUAUUCACACACACACUGACCCUUUUCAAAUGCAGCACCACCUUAGACAAAAAUUCUUUUCCACAACUUAACGAUGCCUGCAGAGAUGCUUCCCAUACUUAUUAUGUGGCUUCAUCUUACAGUAGUUUGCCUAGCUCCCCGCCGCCAGGGUGUGCAACCAUUCAGGUCCCCAUACUUCCGUCUCCGCCUCAACCCAUCACGUUGUCUUCAUUGACUGCUGAGUUUUCCCUCGAAGUGGAAGCACGAAAAUGUUAUCAAUGUCGUGAAAGAAAAGGUGAAUGCCUGGUUGAAUAUGGAAAAUAUAAAUGCACCGCCAGAAAAAGGUAUAUACAUUUACAUGACCUUUUUUUCAUUCUCUGACGUGCGAGAAUCCAAUUCCUUUCUUCAAAGGAUAUAACUCUUAGAAACAGGAAACAGUUUAUCGAAAUGCCCAAGUAUUAAAUGAUUGUCAUGUAUGCAUUAUCCUCUCUUUUUUUGUUGGGUAACAUUAUUUAUGCCACUUCCAUCUUGUGUGAUUUAGCUAACAACCGUUUUCUUUGCAGUUCAUAUUGCCGGAGAUACGCAGUUGAAAUUGAAGCUAGGACUAGGUAAGAUUGAUAUCUCUACAUUUAAAUAUCUAAUUGAUAUGCAUACUCAUCUAGGACAAGUGCUAGAACCAAAGGACGGAAAUCAAUCAUUCCCCAAUCCCUCUGGAUUAAUUUUCUUAUAAUCACGGAAGCAAGCGUUUAAACACGUUGGCAAAGUCCAUUGAUUGCUCUGCAUAACAUACCUUUGAUCAAAUUUAACUCUCCUUGAAGCAACAGCGGUAUAAACUGCAUUGUAACCGUCUCUCUAAUUGUAUUCUUUAGGAAUUGGCCUUGGGUUUUCUACACUUCUUGCAAUAUGCAUAUUUCUUCUCUUGCUUUGCAAACAAAAACGCUCAGGUUUAUGUUACCGUCGUCCUAGUUGUCUGCUGUUUCUUUUGGAAAGGGUGAAUCCAAAACAUCAAAUUGUUGAGGCCUUUCUAAGGAGCUAUGGGCAGCUUCAAGCUCAAAGGCAUAGCUAUUCGGAGGUCAAGAAAAUGACCAACUCCUUCAAAGAAAAGUUAGGACAAGGAGGCUAUGGUGCUGUUUACAAAGGAAAGUUAAAGGACGGCCGUCUUGUAGCAGUGAAGGUCUUGACCAAACUUAAAGGAGACGGAGAAGAAUUUAUGAAUGAAGUGGCAGCCAUUAGUCGAACUUCCCAUGUCAACAUCGUCUCCUUGUUGGGCUACUGUUUUGAACAUUCGAAGGGGGCUCUGAUCUAUGAAUUCAUGCCUAAUGGAUCGCUCGAGAAGUUCAUAUUUGAUGCAAGUACUCCCAAGAAUGAUCAUCAUCACUUGGGAUGGGAAACUCUGGAUCAAAUUUCACUUGGUAUUGCUCGAGGAUUGGAGUACUUACAUCGUGGUUGCAACACACGAAUUUUGCAUUUUGACAUCAAGCCUCACAACAUUCUUCUCAGUGAAAAGUUCACCCCAAAAAUCUCAGAUUUUGGCCUUGCCAAAAUAUGCAACAAGAACGAGAGCAUUGUGUCGAUGUUGGGAGCUAGAGGUACAGCAGGUUACAUUGCUCCUGAAGUAUUUUCUAGAAACUUUGGAAAGGUUUCACACAAGUCUGAUGUGUACAGCUACGGAAUGAUGCUUUCAGAAAUGGUUGGAGGAAGAAGGAACAUCGACACUGAAGUUGAAAAUACAAGUGAAAUAUAUUUUCCGCAUUGGAUUUACCAACGUCUUGAACGGAACGCAGAGCUUGGUCUACGGAGUGUUACGAACGAGGAAGACAAAGUAAGAGCGAGGAAGAUGAUCAUAGUGAGCUUGUGGUGCAUACAAACUGAUCCUUCAAACCGGCCAGCGAUGAAGGAAGUGAUAGAUAUGUUGGAAGGGAGUGUUGAUUCGUUGCAGAUACCACCCAAGCCUUACUUGUCUUCUCCUCCAAAAUCCCAGGCAGAUUCUUCUACUACAUUGGUAUCAAUACAAUAGAAACCCUGUAUUUUACUUGAACGAAUAUGUGCUUUCUGAGGCAAUCUAAAUAAUGAAGUAUGCAUUUCAUUUUUGUUUUUUUUGUUUUUUUCUGUAUAUGAAUGAAUCAACACAGUAGGAGUGUCACUCCUACUACCGCUCCGGCAAUCAUAUAUAUAUUCAACACAAAAUGUGUGAAACAUGUAAGAAUAUUUUAAUGACAUGCAUGCAUAUGAUAUGUAGGAUUCAAUGUAAGAAUAUUGUAAUAUUCUUAAGUAUUCCGCAUGACAUGUAUAUGAUAUUUAAUAAGGAAAACUAAUGAAAAGAGCUUGAAAACUUUGAGUUUUAAUGAUAAGGACAAAAUAAAGGGUAAAGUGAAUAGUACUAUGAUUGACUUUUUAGUGUAAAAAUGUGGUUUUCGUUAAAGUGAACAGUAGCAAGUGUUUUUCGUUAAAGUUCCCUAUUUAAUAUUCUAAAAUGGUCCACAUGACACGUAUAUGAUAAUAAUCCCACUGGUCAAAUUAUGAGAAAUGUUUCCUAUUGAAUUUUUGUGAUGGAUGGUAAUUGAUUAUGUACUUUGAAUGGAAACGGGUCCUCUCUCUCUCUGCCUCACUUAUAUAUAUUGCAUAAACCCAUCUAAUAUGCAUUUGAUAGUCGAAAAACACGAUUAAGGUUUUUACGUGCAAAUAGAGGCAAGAGAGAGCACCUAUUUCCUCCGCCGCUGACAGAAUAGAAUCUGAUUGGGGAUCUCAUAGCGUUCGUUGUCAUGGAUCAAGGUACGCUUGGUUGAUUAAUGUAUUUUUCCGCAUUUUAUUUGCAUGUGAAAAUCAUGAAGUUCGAUGAUCUUAGCUUAAUUGAUUUAUAAUUUACAUGUGGUAUCAGAGCCUAGUUGAGAGCUCUCAUGAUUUUCCAUUUACGAUUAUGAACUUUAAUUGAAUCGACUUGAUCAAGGUUUUGCUUCGAAAUAAAUUAUGAUCCGAUGUGCUAUUUUGAAAUAACCUAAUCGCUGUUUUGAAUUGUGAAUGUUCUUUAUAUAUUGUAAUUGCACUCAGAAAUAAUAUUUUCCUUAUGGUGCUGUUGCUUAUUAUCAAUUGUGAUAUUUGAUCAUUACGAUUAUAAACGUCAUUCAUUUAAUUUGUAAUUCGUCUUACGAAAUUGUUUGUUAGUCACCAAAGUGGCCAAACUAGAAAGAUCACAUGGAUUCAAAUUAAAUGAUGAUUAAUCAAUUACUCAUGGAAGGAUGAUGCAUAUGAACGAACAAAAUCUUAUUAUGUUUUAAGGGGGCGUUUGUUGCGCCGAACUAUCUCGGACUAGACUAGCUUCAAUGACUAAGCCGGACUGGCUUAGACUAGACAAAGCUGGACUAAUAUAGUAAAGCGUUUGGUGCAGUUUUGGACUAAGAAGUUGGAUAAUGACAAUAUUUUAUUAUGAUCUAGGUGACCGGAGAUGACGAGAAGUUUAUCGGGAGUGGUUGUUGAGCAUGACGAGGACGAGAGAUGAUAGUCUUAGCUAGUCCCAUGGUUAUUGGGGGGUCUUGCUAAGACCUCUUAGAGAAGGGUUUUGUCCAUGCUAGUCCCCUUUAGUCUCAUUUGUCCAUGCUAGUCCCCUUUAGUCUCAUUAAUGUUAGUCCCAGUAUGGAACAAACGCAGUAUUAGACUAACAGCUAGUCCAGUCCAGUCCAGUCCAGUCCCACUUAGUGAGGGCAAACAAACGCCCCCUAAAGGUUUGUACAUGAGUAAUAUGAUUUUCAUUUGUCAUAAGUUCUUAAGGGUCACCAAAAGGUUGACUAAUUGCUCAUAUGAUUGAUAAUAUGAAUGUGGUGAGAAUUGUACAUUUCAUUUUAUUGGUUUCGGAUAUCCAAAGAUAACGAAACCUGUCUUGUUAGAGAUGUACAAUUAUCAAUAAGGUAUUAUGCAUGGAUGAUUGUUUGUAUUGUUGUAGUAUCUACCCAAAGGAGAAUAUGAUAAUACACUUAUUGUUAUUACACGUGUUUUUAUAUUACUCAAAGCAUUAAUGUUGUGAGCACUUUUGAAUUGAAGUGUCAGUGCCUAUUUCUCUUCAUUCACUUGCUUCAUCUAUUCUCUCACUUAAUGGAACAAAUUUCUCAGAUUGGAGUGAGCAAGUUCAGUUUCACCUUGGUGUCCUAAAUCUUGAUUUAGCACUCCGAACUAAUAAACCUGUUGCUCUUACGAAUACAAGCAGCAUUGAGGAAAAAUCUCUCUAUAAUGCCUGGGAGAGAUCGAAUAGAUUGAGCAUAAUGUUUAUGCGAAUGACUGUAGUGAGCAACAUAAAGACUGGCCUUCCUCAAGCUGAAACUGCUAAGGAAUACUUGAAAAAUAUUGAGACUCGUUUCAAGACUGCUGACAAGUCUCUUGCUGGGACAUUAAUGGCUGAGCUUACCACCAAGAAAUUUGAUGGUAUGCGAAGUAUGCAUGAGCAUGUCCUUGAAAUGACUAAUAUAGCAGCAAAGCUAAAGACUCUUGGAAUGAAUGUGGAUGACUAUUUUCUUGUUCAAUUUAUUUUGAACCCCUUGCCUCCUCAGCAUGGGCCAUUUCAAAUCAACUAUGGUGCUAUUAAGGACAAAUGGAAUGUUGAUGAAUUGGCCGCUAAACUUGUUCAAGAGGAGGGAAAGCUUAAGCAGCAAGGAGAGCAUUCUGUUCAUUUAGUAAGGCAAGGAGCUGAAAGAAAAUUUGGAAGAAAGCCUAGAAAGGGAAAGAAAAUAGGACCACCCAAGGUGAAUGGACUUGCUAUGCUACUCAGGCUCAUGAUAAGGAACAGAAAAGUGAUUUAUGUCACUUCUGUAGGAAGCCUGGGCAUUAUCAAAGGAAUUGUCAAAAAUUCAAAGAAUGGUUCGAAAAGAAAGGUGAGCCUUUGGCUUAUGUAAGUUUCGAACCAUAUUUAACUGAAAGUUCCUUAUAAUACUUGGUGGGUUGACUCUGGUGCUACGACUCCUAUUUCAAAUUCGAUGAAGGGAUUCCUUACGACCCAAACUUUAAAUCCAUAAAAUUUCAUUUUCAUGGGGAAUCGAGUCAAAGCUCUAGUUGAAGCUAUUGGAACCUUUCGUUUAAUUUUGGAUACUAGAUAUUGUUUGGAUUUAUUUCAGACACUUUAUGUUCCUAGUUGUUCCAGAAAUUUGGUUUCAGUUUUGAAGCUUGACCAUAAUGGUUUUUUUUUAUUUUUAUAAAGUUUGGUAAUGAAUGUUUCAGUUUAUAUAAGAAUACCUCUUUUGUUGGUUCUGGUAUUCUAAUAGGUGAGCUGUAUAAUUUAAAGCUCAAUAAUCGUUUUGCUAAAACACUUUUGAUCUUGCAUCAUAAUGUUGGAACUAAGCGUUGCCUAAAUAAUGAAAAUUCUUCAUUCUUGUGGCAUAAAUGACUGGGUCAUAUAUCCAGAGAAAGGUUAGAAAGAUUAGUAAAGAAUGAGAUUCAUAUGCAAUUUAAGGUGAUUUCAUUCAUGUGUAAUCAAGUUCUGUUUUUAAUUUUUUCUUCUUUUGAUAUGUGAAUGUUGAUUGUCAAAGAACUAAAGGUUGCUAGGUUGGUGAAAAUCUGAAAAUUGACCCAAUUUUGUAUAAUAUAUUAGUUUAAGAACAAUAAACAUACAAGCCCACACACACACACACACACAUAUGCACUCCAAAAGUAAACGAGUUGGAAAUGUUUCGUAAUAUUUUCCUCUGAAUCUUCUUUAGCAUGCAUAAGAUUUACCAUUUCCUUUUAAAUAACUUUUAAAAUCAGCUCUAGUCCAUGUUUGCUUAACAAUGUUGUAUCAUUAUAUAAUUUCACAAAGUUUGUGCAUAAUUCUUGCUGAACUUGGUUUGCUUUUCUUUAAUUUAGGUAUGGAGUGAGCAAAUCACGGUUCGACCAAGUCUUCAACGAUGAAUUGAGUCAGAUCAUUAAGGUCUCUCUACGUUUGUUAUAUUUGUUUGGUUUUUUAUUUCUAUAGUUAUAGAUAUUGUUAGUAUGCAUUUGGUUUGGCUUGAUUGGGGUAUAGGAUGAAUUUAAAUAGUACUGAUUUUUAUUAUUUUUUCCCCCUCCAGCUACCAGUUUGUUGUUUGGCACUGUAAAUGUACAAUCGGAAAAAAAACUAGGGUCAACAACGUGCUUCAACUGUGCUUGCAUUGGCAUUUGUAAUCCUCAAUACUUGACUCAAACUUAGAUCAUGAAGAUAAUGAAGUUGCAUAAUCUUUUAUUCAGUUUUCAAUCCCGCAAUAACGUGCGGGCACAAGUUUCUAGUAUUGUCUGGGUUGGGUAGGCUCAAUAUGGGCCUCUAAAACGGGUCAUGUAGCGGUCCAGUUUAGCCGGUUUACUUUUUCAAUUUUUUGUUUGGGAUGAGUAGCCCAGCUUACUUUCUAAAUAACAAAAAAACCCAAUGUACUAUUUAUUUAAAGUAAAAUAGAAAAAGAUUUUAGGAAGAAAUUUAAAUGGAGCCGUGCCCUCUACAUACUUAUUUUUACUUCUCACACGAUCAUGUUUACUACUUAACCAUCAAAACCGGUAGAGAAAAUGGCAGUCACAAACGACCAAAUUCGUCAUGACGUUUUACUAAAUUAAAUUCUAACGUUAGUACUGUUACUAGGAGAUGCUUUUCAGCUAUGAAGCUGUUCAGUGCUCAGACAAAUUAGACUCGCAAGCAAGACGGAACGGAACAUGUUUCACUGCGCGACGAGAGAACACUGAACACUCAAUCGUUUCCGUAAUCUGUGUGGUUCAGAGGAGUUGCAAGGAUUUUUUAAUGUUAUCUUUGAAGAGUCAAGGGGUCAAAGUCUUUCUGAUGCUUGUCAGUGGGGAAGUUGAGAAGGAAACUCCCCUAAUAGGCCAUGCAAGUCUUUUAAGUCGAGCAACAUUUACAUGGUUAGUUCCCACAAGUCUUCCAGUCUCCCAAAUUCCAAGUCAACAGGGGUGCUAAUACAUUGCAAACAAAGAAUUCUGAACCUCUAAACAAUUCAACACUUGUUCUGAAGAGGAGGAGUAGAUUUUCUUAUUGUUCUUCCUUUGCGGCGCUUUCUUCUUGUUGAUCAGCUCGGAAUUUUCGGAUGGCUCCGGUGGCUUUGUUUAUUCUCGCCAUUCUUGCUCACCUUGUGGUUCUGCACUCUGCUGAAGCCAUACAUUGUCCAGUCCAGUUCUGCAGCUCAGCAGGCAACAUCAGCUUCCCCUUCAAAAGCAUGGGAUAUCCUCCUGAAUGCGGAUUGUUCACAGUUGAUUGUUCAGAACCCGAUCGGCCAAAAAUCCAAUUGGAAGAGGGAGGAUACUGGCAUGAAUUUGGAGGCUCUUUAUUAUCAACUUCGAUUUGGAUCGAAGAUAGAGACCUUGCCGACCGCUUAGAAAAGGAUCGCUGCAACGACGGACUUUUCGACGACUUGAGUCUUCCCAGGGCUUCUCCAAUCCCUGAAGUAUCAUUAUCCACACCCAAUCUUACCCUUUUCAAAUGCAACACCACCUUAGACAAAAAUUCUUAUCCACAACUUAUUUAUGGCUGCGGAAAUGCUAACCAUACUUAUUAUAUCAAUUCAUCUAACGGUAAUUUACCUAACCCUCUGCCACCAAGGUGUCAAACCAUUCAGGUCCCCAUGCGUCCGUCUCAACCGACCAUGUCCUCUUCAUUGACAGCUGAGUUUUAUCUCCAGGUGUCAGCACAAGAAUGUUUUCAAUGCAUUGAAAGCAAAGGUGAAUGCCUGGUUCUCGAGGGAAAAUUUAAAUGCGCCAAGGGUAUAUACAUUUACAUGACCUUUCUUUCUUUCUUUCUCUGACGUGCGAUAAUCCGAUUCCUUUCUUCAAAGGAUAUAACUCUGAGAAACAGCAAACAGUUUAUUGAAACACACAAGUAUUAAAUGAUUGUUAUGUAUGCAUUAGCCUCCUUUGUUUUGAAUGGUAACAUUAUUUAUGCCACUUUCAUCUUCUGUGAUUUAGCUAACAGCAGUUUUCUUUGCAAUUUAUGUUGCAGGAGAUAAGCAGUUUGAAAUUGAAGCUAGGACUAGGUAAGAUUGAUAUCUCUACAUUUAAAUAUCUAAUUGGUAUGCAUACUCAUCUAGGACAAGUGCUAGAACCAAAGGACGGAAAUCAAUCAUUCCCCAAUCCCUCUGGAUUAAUUUUCUAAGAAUCACGGAAUGAGCAAGCAUUUAAACACGUUGGCAAGGUCCAUUGAUUGCUCUGCAUAACAAACCUUCAAUCAAAUUUAACUCGCCUUUAACAGUUGGUGCAGCUUCUGUUAUCGUCGUUCUAGUUGUUGUCUGCUGUUUCUUUUGGAAGAAGCGUAUCCAAAAACAUCAAAUUGUUGAGGCCUUUCUAAGGAGCUAUGGGCCGCUUCAAGUUCAAAGGCAUAGCUAUUCGGAGGUCAAGAAAAUGACCAACUCCUUCAAAGAAAAAUUAGGACAAGGAGGCUAUGGUGCUGUUUAUAAAGGAAAGUUAAAGGACGGCCGUCUUGUAGCAGUGAAGGUCUUGACCAAACUUAAAGGAGAUGGAGAAGAAUUUAUGAAUGAAGUGGCAGCCAUUAGUCGAACUUCCCAUGUCAACAUCGUCUCCUUGUUGGGCUACUGUUUUGAGCAUUCUAAGAGGGCUCUGAUCUAUGAAUUCAUGCCUAAUGGAUCGCUCGAGAAGUUCAUAUUUAAUGCAAGUACUCCCAAGAAUGAUCAUCAUCACUUGGGAUGGGAACCUCUAUAUCAAAUUUCACUCGGUAUUGCUCAAGGAUUGGAGUACUUACAUCGUGGUUGCAACACACGAAUUUUGCAUUUCGACAUCAAGCCUCAUAACAUUCUUCUUGACGAAAACUUCAGCCCAAAAAUCUCAGAUUUUGGCCUUGCCAAAAUAUGCAACAGGAAAGAGAGUAUUGUGUCGAUGUUGGGAGCUAGAGGUACAGCAGGUUACAUUGCUCCAGAAGUAUUUUGUAGAAACUUUGGAGGGGUCUCACACAAGUCUGAUGUGUACAGCUACGGAAUGAUGCUUUCGGAAAUCGUUGGUGGAAGAAGGAACAUCGACGUUGAAGCUGAAAAUACAAGUGAAAUAUAUUUUCCGCAUUGGAUUUACAAGCGCCUUGAAUUGGAUGAAGAGCUUGGUGUGCAGAAUGUUAUGAACGAGGAAGACAAAGUAAGAGCAAGGAAGAUGAUCAUAGUGAGCUUGUGGUGCAUCCAAACUGAUCCUUCAAACCGGCCAGCGAUGAGGGAAGUGAUAGAUAUGUUGGAAGGGAGUGUUGACUCGUUGCAGAUACCACCCAAGCCUUACUUGUCUUCUCCUCCAAAAUCCCCGUUAGAUUCUUCUACUACAUUGAUAUCAAUACAGUAGAAACCCUGUAUUUUACUUGAACAAAUAUAUGUUUUUCUGAGGCAAUCUAAAUAAUGAAGUAUGUAUUUCAUUUUUGUUUUGUUUAUUUCUGUACAUGAAUCAAUGAAUCAACACAGUAGGAGUGACCCUCUUACUACCACUCCUGCAAUCAUUAUAUGUUCAACACAGUUACAAACGCUUUAAUCAAUCCAAUUUGGGAAAACUCAAAGAUGGCCGGGAAGUUGCAGUCAAGUUCUUAUACAAACACAAUUACAAACGCAGUGAACACUUCAUGAAUGAAAUUGAAAUCCCUUACCGGUCUUUGCCACAAAAUCUUAGUCUCCCUUUAUGGCUGCACCUCACGCCGCAGCCGCGAACUCCUCCUUGUCUACGAAUACAUUUCCAAUGGAGCCGUUGCUGAUCAUCUCCACGAAGACAGAGCAGACCCUGGCUCACUCACUUGGCCUAUUCAUAUGAACAUUGCCAUAGAAACCGCCAACACAUUGUCCUACCUCCAUGCUUCUGAAAUUGUACAUCGUGAUGUGAAGACUACCAACAUUCCGCUCGACGGCAACUUCUGCGUUAAUGUUGCAGAUUAUGGGCUCUCCGGUCUCUUCCCCAUUGAUGUCACGCAUGUCUCAAUCGCUCCACAAGGGACACCAGGAUGCGUUGAUCCAGAGCAUCACCAGUGUUACCAGCUAACUAGCAAGAGUGAUGUUUAUAGUUUCGGAGUUGUUCUCAUGGAGCUCAUAUCAUCUCUUCCGGCAGUUGAUAUAAUGAGGCAUAGGCACGAAGUUAUUCUACCCCGGCCAUAAGCAAAUUUCAAAAAGGUUUGUUCAAAGAGUUGGUAGAUCAACUUCUUGGGUUCAUAUUUUAUACAUAUAGUUUUGAUCUUCUAGCGUUUUGGCGCUUCCUACUUGUUUGAUGUCUAUAUCUUUUUCCUUCUCUUUUUUCUGCUUCUUGUGAUAUCGUUUAUCAACCAAUUUGAAUUAUAUGACAUGAUCAAACACCUUCUUCACCGGAAAGUAAAACGGACAUAAAUGACAAAAGUUUUAGAUUUAUACAGUUUUAUAUCAUUCUAAUUUAUACGAAAAGAGUUCAAACUUGAGUACUCUGGCGUAAUCCAUGUCUGAUUAUGUUAAAAUAUUAGAACUACUAUUUCAUCAAUCAUUUAUUUAAUACUUCUAAAUUUGAAUUUUUCAUAUGUUUGUUUGGUUACCAAAAAAAUAAAAUAAAAAAUAAAAUCACAUUGUGGUGGUGAGGGUUAGGUAAUGACAACGUUGUUGUACUUGUUCAAGAACCUUGGGUGCAGGCUAACAACGUGGAAAAUGGAGUUUGAAAUCUAGGCCACCUAAUUUGGAGGCUAUUUAUUUUAACUUUUUUACACGAUGAAAUUUGUUCACAUGGAAUAUCGCUAGUGUUAUUAUCAAGGGUACUGUUAGAAAGAUUAGAUUGUAGACAAAAUUUACAAAUUAAGAGAUUUGUCAUCAAUAAGAAUGUGCAUAUCAACAUUUAAGUUAUAACCUCAUUAUCAACUUCCAUAUCAUUUAGUUUACAAAUUUAAUCUUCCUAACAUUACCCUAUUAUCAAUUAAUCUUUACGAAAUCUCUUAUUAAUGGAUGAAUUUUUUUGUAGAAAACAUGAGCCACUAUACCAAAUGUUACAAUUUCUCCUAUUAAUGUUUAAAGUUUAAAAGAAAUUUAUCAACCACUUAUAUAUUGACACUUAAUAUGCGGGCUCGUGCAGACUAAAAAAAUUUAUCCUAUUAUUGGUUGAAACUGACCUUUCAAUCUUCUUCAGUCAAAGAAUGAGGUGUUGUCUCUUUUUCAGAACCCUAUAUAGAUUUUCAGAUUUUUGGAAUUUCACUUGGAAAAUGCACCCACUCUCUCUCUUCUCUCUCCUCUCUCACCCCCUCUCUCCCCUCUCUCCCCUCUCUCUCCUCUCUUUGAAUUAGUGAAAAACGAGAAGAAAAAAAACCCAGUCACUAUUUGGUCUAAUUUAUAAGUGUGUGUAUAAAAAAGAUGCAUCCACCUCCCAACAUAUCCUUUUCUCUAUUUCACAAGCAAUCAAUCGUGUCUCAGUUUCUCCCCUGCAAUCAUUCACCAUUUUAAAUUCAAAUAUUCACCCCCAACAAUUCACAUGUAUAUAUAGAGAGAGGAAUGGGAGUUAGCAGCAGCAACAGGCCUCAAAUCCAAAAGAUGGGGACUUUACAGAAAUUCAAGCUCCUCGCCACGCAGUGCGGCGUGGCCCAGAGCCCGACGCGAAGCCCGCGGUCGAGCCCCUUGAUCCAGCUCCCCCGCCGCAAACCCACUUUGCUCAUGCUCCUGACCCGGAGCAGCAGUCGCCGCCGUGACCCGCCGGUUCCGAUGCCACUACCGGAAGAGCUUCCGGUUCAGAGGAACAGUUUGAAGGACUUGUUUGUGUCGUCGCCGCCAUUUGAGUUGAACGACGGGAGGAAGGCGGAGAGUGAGAGAGAUAAGCGAGCAGAGUUCGGUAGUUUGGGGGCGGUGGGUAAAGAAAUUGGUGGAUUUGGACCGGGCUCGCCUAGGCCGGCCUGGACCGGUUUCCGUUACAAGUCGUUAAUGAGAAGGGCUUGGCGCCCUGUGCUCGUCACUAUUCCCGAGUAAAUUACAACAACAAAGCUUUAGUCCAGUAAGUGGCAUUGGCGGUAUAAAUCUUAGAAUGAUUUGCGCGGUAUAAAUCUUAGAAUGAUUUGCGAUCAAGUCUUCCGUUAACUCUAAGUACUUUUGUUUUCGUAAACUAAUAUUUGGAAAAUAUUAUUAGAAGUUCUUUGUUGUACGUUAUGUCAUCAAUCGUCUCUCACGAUCUUGGUCCAAAUAUACUAAUACAAAUCGAUUUCGUAUUGCAUUGUAUAAUUUGUAGUUACCGGCAUUGAAUUUGUAGUUAAAAGCGUUUAUCAAACAUUCGACGUUAUGGUUUCAUGACUUACAUAGUGCAUUUGAACUCGUGAGAAACUUGGAACCUCUUCCAAUAUUAAACAGAGGGAAUGCAUCAAGUCAGAGCCGGUUGGUUUCGAGAAUCAAAGAAAAAUCCUACUUUGAAUAGAAACAGCUUCCGAAGAAACAGAGGGAUCCACGGAAGACGAUCCUUCCCUUAUUUCGGAAGAAACAGAGGUAGAACCAUUACCAUUCUUUUGAGGUUCCUUUCUAAAGUUAAAGUGGCUAAGGCCCAGGACCAUGACUGUUGGGAGAACAGUUAACACCACACAUGCUAAAGCAACAAUUCUUCCCUUUGGGACUAAAAAGGACAAAGAAUAAGGCGUGCUUUAUUACACCACCAAACCUCAAGCUUCCUCUGUUGGAAAUAAAAGCACAACUUUUGCAAAUUCUUAUCUUAUUACAACCCGAUUCAAAUCCAACAUCAUUUCGGAUCUAUACUUUUUGCAUCAAAGAGCUCAAAACAAACUACUCGAGACCUAAUUUCAUGACGUACAUUUUGAACGAAGAAAGAAAGGUUACAAUAAGGGAACUAACUUUUUUCCCUUUCAAAUGGAAAAAUUUCUUACAGUCAAAUGGUAAAUUCAAAAAAAGGGUGGAUUCCUUCAAUGUCUUGCCGUUAGCGGGUCUUUGUUUCCAAGAGGAAGUGGAGUCCUCUGAUUUGUUUGGGCUUGUGCUUGCCGCAAUGCAGAGUCAUUCCCCUCUCUCUCGGUGCCUCCAUUUCCCUUCUGAGGUUCGGCGUGGCCAUCAGACUUAGGGUGGCCACCUGAGUGCUCGUUUUCUGUAAGUACAACCCUCCGCAAGAACCUAUCUAUCAUCUCGUAGCUGGUAAAUGUAAUAACGGCAGAAGGAGUGGUUCUUAGUAGAUUAGUAGCACAACCAUUAUAGAAUCCACGAAGGCCUUCCUUUUGGAACACCUUCUUCAUACAGUCAAUAACUCCUGCGUACUGGGGUUCAAUAUGUCUCGCCUGCCCUUGCUCUUGCAGCCUCGAGCGCACAACCUAGAGAUAAUUAAUUCAGUCAAGACAAUAAAAUAAAAUAUGAGAAAGAUAGAGAGACACGACUCUUAAGUUAUAAGCAGUCAUCCAAGCCCCAAUCCGUUUACUGAGAAGUCCAGCUGAACAUACCUCGUGAGGGUAUGUUAUUACAGAAGCGAUUACUUUUGAUACUGAUGAAGCAAAGGCAACUCUACUAGGGUGUAACUUAUCAACAGUUGUAUUAUCUGAAAAUUAUAUUUACGGGGUCAGAUCUAAUUAAUUAAUUAGAAAACGCUGAAUUUUCAAGUAAAACAGUUCAUCAAAGAAGUAAAAAUAUAACGUUUACCCCUUUUUGCCAUGAAAGACUUUAUCUUUUCAUAAGCAGGAAAUUGAAUUGCAACAUGACUUAUGCCAGCCAACGAAGGCAAGAUCCCACUGUUUGAAACCACACAUGCAAACAAAAACAUAUCAUUAAGGGAAACGACGCGGAUAGAUUAAAUAUCAAUUGAACAGACUCCUUUCACCGAAUGAAAAAAAAAAUCGAUUUAAGCAAAUAUGAAAUUCACAGUUUAGUGUCAUAUGAUGUAACUCGGAAGAAAAAUGACCUAUAUAAACCUCGCAAGCCUUCCUCAGUUGCAAUCCUUGAGAAAGCAGAUCUCAUGCUUUUGUAAGGAAUCACACCAGGCCUCAUUCCUUGUGUCUAAAUGAAGUUGAUCAAGAAGAAUAUAUCAAUGUACAAAAAUGACAAAAAGUUCAAACGAGGAAAAUUAAUUAGUGUGAAGUCCUUGAAUUUUCUAAAUCCAUGAAUGUUGACUUUAAGUCAGAAACUAACAUGUAAUUAUGUGGAAGAGAUUCAUUAGCCUGGUUAGACAUUGGUUAAGCAUCAACCCCAAGAAUAAAACAUGCCCAGACAUUUCUUAGAAACCCGUAAGCUCUAAAGGACCAUCUCUAGCAAAUAUGUGUUUGCAUAGUUGAACUAAUACUUUCUUUUAUUUUCAUUCGAUGCACAGUUUACUUUCUCCCCACAUCUCAAGUCAAGGACAUGAUAAUUACGGAGAGUUUGUGUCGCAUCCAGGAAAAAAAACAAUGUUCUCAGUCCCAAUCCAACAGAAUGCCAUAAAAAUAACAGGUCAUUGUUCCCCAUGUUUCAAUAUCUUCUAGUACUUUAUAAUUGAUAUGCCAUUCUAUUUUGCAAUUUAAAUAUACCAAUACAAUUAUGUUUGUGUUUUAAGUAUAAGUAGACAUAUAUUUAUAUAUUAUAUAAUAAAUUUAAUUAAAAUUAAAAAAAACUAGGCCCCCGCCUAGACGCCUAGGCGCUAGGCCCCUGCCCGCCGACCGACUAGCUUCUAGCACUUUUUAGAACCUUGUGCAACACAAAGAAGCAUUUGCUAUUGCAAAACAAAUACAAAAUCCCGGAACUGAAAUUAACUUAGAGCUACACAACCCUGAAUUACGACAGCUGCAUGCUUUAAAGGGCAUAUGUAUGUGUGAGUAGUGAAUACUGACCACUCCAAUAAAAUUAUGAAUUUUUUUAACAUGAAAUAAGCAUGUGGGCUAGCAGAAAAUGAGAUGGAAUCACAGAUUCCCUUUACAUGAGAAUAUAUGUAUUACUACAUUUUAAAUGAAUUACAAACACAAAAACAGUAAACUUACUUGAAGUCUGGUCUUAACAACCCACAAUGGAUUUGUUGAAAUGGCUGUGGCAGCCCCGGCACCAGCAGCAGCAAUCAUAUUUUCACCAAUUGUGAGUUCUCCGAUGCCAUGAACUACAGUAUGACCAUAGUGAAUGUUUAAAAGUAACUAGCUGAAUGCUAUUAAAUAGUCCUUAAACCUCUAAACUAAAUCAAGAAUAUAGGAAUACCAGGCGUUUCAUAAGAAAUAAUUAGAGACAAACACAGACUUUUAAGCCACAUUUGGAAAAACCAACCAUGAGUGUGGAGUAGGCCUUUGAGUUGCUCAUAAACUGUGAAGUACACCUGCGUACAAACAGAGUGCAUAUGGCACCAGGAGAAUUACAAAAAGUAUAUAGGUAAAAAAGUUGCAUGUGAUCUGACCGAGGGCCUCAAAUCCUUGUGAAAUCAAGUUUCCACAAGAUAAAGGCUCCCAAAGAUUUAUUUCACAAUAUAAGGCAACAAAAGUAAUACUCACUGCCCAGUUUGGAAGUAGCGCUAGAAUUGUAGGUGAAAGGCCCCGGUACAUCCCCUUCACACCUUCAGUCUUUAAUAUUUUUUGUAGGCUUGUGACAAUGAUACUACCUGAUCAUAGGCCAAAAGGAAAACAAAGAAGAACAGUCAUACUGAUAUGCAUGCAGUAUGCAGUGCGAACCAUAUAUACUACAAAUUAAUAGAUCGACUCAAAUUUGUCCUCGAAAUGGCCAUGAGCCAAAUAAAAAAAUUUAUAGAACAAACACAAAGCCCCCUGAAGCCGGUUCACCAAUUAACAAGAAAUGUGGCAUACAUUUGGUCAAUGCAUAUUUUCUCGUUUAUACAAAUACAGAGAGUUCACAAAACCGAAACUUUAACCAGACUACGAUUCCAUUUCCACCUAAACAUGUGCUCCCAUAGUCCCAAUGAAUCUAAGAUCGUCAAAAAUCGAUACUUGCAUUCGAUAAGUUCCUUAAAAAUAACAAAAACACAGAAUUUCAUCCAAGUAUUGAUAAACAAAACAUAAUUUGUUCAAAGGAAUAUAAAGCUUCGACUCUGUAAAUUGAAGAAUACCUCUUUGCCCAGAAGGCAUGCCAUGGACCUGCAGCCUAGUCUUGAUGACAUCCAAGGGGCAUACAAACGUAGCCGCAAUAGCACCUGCAAAGCUUACAAUUCAAUCAAUUUGCAAUAAAUUCAUCAGAUUUCCAAAUGCGUCCCCAGAUGAACGAAACCCUAGGAAUGGGAAUGGGGAAGACACUGACCAGCGGAGGCGCCAGCACCGGCGUGGCAGAUGACAUCUCUGAUAGUUUGGCGAUCGGAAUGUUCGGCCACAACACCCAUCGUAGUCGAAUCCUCUCUAGUCUAUCUCUAGAGCUGGUUCUUCAAAUCAAAGGUAAAUUUCAUGGCCAAUCGCAGUGUGUGUAUAUAUACAUAUACAUAUAUGUAUAUAUACUGAUUUGAUAGAGAGGGAGAGAUUCGGGGUCGGAAGUUUGAAGGACUGUGGAGCGCCAGUAUUCUGGACCCACGAGGUCGUCGUCGUCGUCGCCUGAACUUGUUUGAAGGGGUUUAAGCGGUGAAAAAGGACGUGUCAGGUACGCAGAGCUCAGCUUCGGAUUUGGAAUUUGGAAAGGGGAAAUGACCCGGAAACGGAAUCCGUCGAGGGAAGGAAACUCGAAAACUACCAAAACGGCUAUUUUCUCUCUGUUACAAGUAAAUUUCUCCCCAAAAAUGUGUAGGUGGGUUUCUUUCCACGUUAAUUAAACUCAAUUUCUGCCUAAUCGCUAAUCAAUGUGAUAAACAUUUCUCUUCAAAAUGUGUUAAUACAUUUACGACCACCCGGCCGUCACCGCUACAGUUCGGUAAUAUUUGUAUGAAGAAAAAGUUUUUUUUGGAGUCUAACGAUCCAAACUGCUAAUUUUUUAGAUUUUUCUUUAAAGAUCACGUCAAUUGUAAAUCAUUCAAAUAUGAAACCAUAUGAUUGUUGUGUUAAGAGUUUAGGGUUCUAUUAGAACCAUAUUUAUCCAUUUUUUUCACUACAAAUAAAAGUCAUAAUGGUUUUGAAUUUGUCUAACUUUUUUGAACAAUAAUCUAUGAAUAAUGUUAUAAAAAUAGACAGUUCAGAUCGUUAAAAUAGAUUAUGAAAUUAGCUCUACAAAACCAUAUAUCAAAAGUUGUAUAACAAAAGUGGUGUCAAAUAGGUUUAAUAUUUAAUAUAAAACCAAGGGCACUAAUUCAAUUCACAUUUUAGAUUCUCCUUAGGGCUGGUUUGGUAUUGCUGUGCUUUGAAAAAAAACUGCUGUGAGAAUAAGCGGUUGUGCUGUGAGAAUAAGCGGCUGUGAAAUAAAUCAGCAGAGUGUUUGGUAAACUUUUUUGUAAAAGUGCUUUUGGAAAAAAAAAAGCAGUCUAAUAGUGGGUCUUUUCAUUAAAGAAGCACUGUAGCUCCGUGUGCUUUGAAAAAAACCAGUUUUCUAAAGCUACAAAUAGCAGCUUCAGCUUUUUCCUUUGAUUUCAGCUUAUUCUCACAGCAGCUUCCAAAAUAAGCCCUUUUUUUUUCAGUUUACCAAACACCUAAAACCCUCACAGCUUUUUUUCAUGGGUGCUUUUUUUUUAAGCACCUCACUCCCAAACUAGGUCUUACUCUCCUUACAUUUUUUUUCCUUAUAUAUUGCAAUAUACCUUCCUCCUAAGCCCUAAACACAUGCAUAGUAUUUGUAGAGUUUGCUAGUGUAAAUUUUAUGAAAACAAAAUUUCAUUUUUAAGUACAGAAAAGUUUAUAUUACUCUAACCAACUUAGUUGCGCUUAAUAGUAUUAUUUUUUUUAAAUUUAAAAGUUGUGCUCUGACUUGUGAGAGACAAAUAUGUAAAAAAGUUUGUUUGUUUUGUUUGUUUUUUUAUUUUUGUAUACGGUGAGGUAGCCAAUGGUGGAUUUCAUCGCUCAGACAAAUUCUUGUGUCUACUUUGGCCUGCUUGACGAGGAGAGAGAGUUCAAUAGAUUUAACUAUUUCAAUUGCGUUUAUAAAAAAUUCAAAAAAUAAAAAUGUGCCUUUAAUUUGACAAUGUCGCAUAUUUUGUGUGUACAUUGAAACAAGAAGCUUGUUGGACUUUUCUACUUCUCUUGGGGUCCAAAGUCGUCGAGUAAGAGAGGCCCAACUAAUUCAGCCCAGAGUGCACCUUUGGCAUAUUACCUUUCCCGAAAAGCAUAUAUGCUAAAUUUACAUAAGAAUAGGAGAACAACUUAUAUGAUACAAAUACAACGUCUUUAGCGUCCUGAGUAAAUUGUACAAUGUUAUGUUAAAAAAACUCAAUAUUAUAUUAUCUCAUUGGCACGAAAAAGGUUAUGGUUGGUGGGCUUAAAACCAUCACAAAAAAGGCCCUGCAAGAUAAAUUAAUGUCUUGGGCAUCUUUCAUCAAAGAUAUCAUGAUUUCCGGGGCCCAGGACUGUACGCAGUGGUUUUCUGACCAUCGUACGUGGGGAUGAGCAUGGCACAUUGGCAAUGCGUGUAGGGCCCAGAUAGCCCCAUUAUCCCAGCCUGUACUUGCCCAGGGAUCAGGAUCCUCUCCUGAGCAAAGGGUGUGGAUCCUCCUAACCAAGCCCAUCAGGCCGUUGAAAUUUUAUCCAACGGCUAUAAACAGGGAGCCCCUUUAAAAGUUAUAAUAAUUGUAGUCGUUGGAUAAAAUUUCAACGGCCCGAUGGGAUUGGUCAGGAAGAUCAUCACCCUUUGCUUAGGAGAGGAUCUGAUCCCUUGCCCAGUUGCUCAAAACCAAUAAAGAUUAUGUUUUUAAUUUUAUUUUCUAAAAAUAUAACCCUCAAAGGCAGAACAGUAUGUGGAUGUGGAGAAAUUUUUCGAUGCCAAGAACACGGUUCGGUAUACUAAACAUCAUAAUACAAUUGGUAGAAUUUUGUUUUUAAAAUUUCUAACUAAUUGUACUAUGAAACUUAAUAUACAACAGUAUUAAGCCGUAUUUCUUUUUUUAAAAAGGGGACAAUUGGUACUUGGCCGUAUUUUCGGUACACUAAAAAAUCUACGAUGAAUGUGGAUGAUGGAUCCAACGCACUUACUGGAAGAUUCCCAAAAAUCUCAGUUUAGAAAGAGGUAGUUGAAGUUGUUCUUCUCCUAAUCAAGAAGAAAAAGGUAUAAAGAAGAACUUUGCAGAAUUGUCUGACUAGGGCAAUUCUCAGAUUGAAUAAAAUUUGUACGAGUUCAUACAAGACUAAAGUAUAUAAAUUUUCACGCAUUUGUAAAGUUACUUACGAAUAACGUGAUCGACAACGCUUACUAUAAGUUUUUUUUCCCAUUUAUCAAUUAUCAAUUGGGUACUCGGUACAAUUUCCUUCAUUUCUCAUGCGAUGCAACACUUAGCAGAGAUGCCUAUUAAAACCUUUACCAGACGCAUCCGUUCCAACUACAACCCUCCCAUCUGCAAUUCAUUAAUUAUGUACUCGAAUUAAAUAUUGCAAUUUCAAUAUUAUUCACAAUCUUCUACUCUAAUCGCGGCCACAGACACACAGCAGCUUCACACUCAUACUGAUCUUGCAAGUUGUAAGUAACAGUGGGUUUAGAAUUUUAGCCUGAGCUCAAAUGUCUUAAUCCAAAACGUUCUUUUGAUCUUACAAAAAUUACAUUGUUUUGUGGUGAGCAACCAACCAAUGUCGUUUAGUCUGGUAUGAUGUCGUCCUCAUCAACUUAUUUCUCAAACCUAAACCUCAAUACUCUUUGACUUUCUUCCUCUCUCUCCACUGAUCCCCAUACCAAAGUCCUCAUCGAAGCUCACAAGCAACAUAAUACCUGAACUCUAUAGGAGUCAUCAACCUCAAAUCAAACUCGAUGAAAAAAAUUAAAGUAAAAAAUCAGACUGGAGCCUUGUGCCUACAAAAAAACCUUUAUGCGUGAAAAAUAAAAAUGUCAGAAUGGCCGUGGAACCAUCCUAGUGCCUUUCUGGCUCACUCUGCUAAAUACUAUAAUUGUUUCUUCAGUAAGAAAUUCUGCUAGAUCACCGAGUGCAUACAUUAGCGUCAGUGUUUUUUUUUGUCAGGUAACGAAGGUUUAUACAUAUGGUGACACACACACGGAAAGGUAAAGCAUGCUUGGUGGAGUUUGUCCUUUACUUAAAGAAUAUUGAUGAAAAAUCAAAUCACUUACAGUAUCUUAAUAGAAAUUUGAGUUACUGUAACUUUAUACCAGAGUUUGAUGCACACAUGGUUUCAGGUUUCAAGUUCAACUGAUGCAGCUUUAACAUGCUGGGAAAUAUUUGACGAAAAGACCUAGCUAGCAAGCUGCUUUAUAGCAUUCGGGCAAUUAGUUGCCCCUAUGAUCUUGAUCGAGUAUCAUUUUUAAUCCAACUUUCGUCGUGUUUCAGAAAAAGUUUCAUGAUUUCGAAGCGUUUCUGUCACAUAGUAGGAAGUAUGUGAAUUUCAUUAUACAAUUCACGAUUCUAACUAAAAACUGUACUAAACGUCCAUUUUCUAUCUUUUGUAUUUCUUACCUUUAGGUCCGACUUAAUCUAGUUCUAAUUUUUUUCGUUUUAAGUAAGUAAAUACGUAAUAAGAAAACAUGUCAGGAACUCUAUAGUUUUAAGGGGUUUUUUGAUAUGAGUCAAAAGUAACUAAAAAUUGAACAUAUUUCAAAAGUUAAAAAUCACUAAAAAUUAGACCUAUUUCAAAAGUAAGCCUAUAAAAUUAGACAUAUUUCAAAUUUUCCCAAGUAGAAUUUCAUAUAUGAGAUAUUAUUACCCUUUCUCUUUAAAGAAAAAUGCAAAUCAAUGAGAAAUAACACAUAUAAGAGAUAAAACUUCCAAUCUGAAAAAUGAUUAAGGUUGUGACAUAAAAAAGAAAGAGUGUAAUGUUUGGAAGGAGGUCAAGAAAUUGGAAGGAGAAUCGUUUUUCUUUUAAUUUUUAAUUUUAUUUCAUUUUUAAAUAUUUUAAAUCAAAUAAAUAAUUUUAUAAAUAAGUUUAUAAUGAUUUAUAAUUUUUUUUAUAGAAAUUAGAUGGAAAUGUUCUUAAUUGGCUAACGAAAAUAAACACAAAGACCAAAUUGACUAAAUUGAAAACACAGAGAUUAAAUUGAUCCAAUGACUAAAACACAUUGAUCAUUUUAAUAUUUAAGCCUUCAAUAUUUGAAAUGAAACUAAGAUAGAGUUCGGAUCUCACAUUGGAUAUGAGGGCUACAAGCCUGCAUGCUGCAACCCUACCCUGCAUAUGCAAAUACAGUAUACGUAUGGCCAACUUAAUAAUUCCACAACCCACAUGCUGCCCUACCUAAUCCUCAAAUUAAUUAUACUUAAUCACAAAACACAACAACGCGGAAAGAAUUAAAGCAACUUAACAAUUUCGUUAUCAUCGGGCCACAAAUUAAAAACAAAAAAAAUGCAUGCAAAAAUUGUGAUGAGAAGAAAGGUUGGUCCUCCCUUUGGUGACAAAUCCUCUUUGAAUCAUUUCCAUCCGGACUCCCAAGAUCAAAUAAUAUGAGCCGUUCACGUAAAAUCGUCUAGCUGAGAUCAUUCUUCCUCUUUAACUUUCUUACUUUUUCUCUUCCUCUUCAAUAUCUUGCCUUCUUCUUCGGUGGCCAUUGACUUAGCAGAACCAGAAGAAAGAAAGAAGAAAAUGGGAGGGGUUGAAGGUCGAGGAAACAUGCAGUGGAAAAGGGGUGGGAGGGGGAGGGACUGGGGAGGUGAGUGAUGGUAGGGAGGUCAAGGGAUUGGGUGCAGCAAUCUCGAUCCCAACUACUAUUCCGACAACAGUCGUCUCCUCUAAUAUUCGCGCCUCUCUUAACUUUCUCAUCGUCAAUGCUGUCGCUGCGGAUCUCAAGGCGGAGGAUUCUAAAGCCGCUAUCUCAACUUCUUUUCAUUAAAGAUUCGGAGGAUUUGGAUGGAAUGAGUUUGAAAAUGAUCAGAUUCCCUCCUUUUGAGAACAACUAAUAUAGAUUUAAUAAGUUUACCGUGUCACGUGAUGUUUCUAUUUGAUAUAUAAUAUAACAGCGUAUAACAUGAACAAAAAUUUACAUAACAUUAUAUUAAGCGACAAAAUUACCAUGACAAUAAACGCAAUCCAUGUCAAAUUGCAUCACCGUCAGCAUUGGCAUUGACUAGGAGGGGCGUUGGGGGGACCCCAAAAGCCCUCGAGUAAAAAAGCAAAGGGUAACCCUACAAGGCUGUGGCUGUGAGGCUACAGGUAAACAGGGUUACAGAUAUCUGCAUACGCAGAAUCGCACUCAGUUAACCACAUGCAACGAGAGCUCUGCGAACCUUGCCCACAUCAUCGCCAUCACAGAAACACAUGCACAAACACCCAUCACGUGUCAGCUUUUUUCACAGAAAAAUCCCACAACCCUAAGAACUUUGUUACCAAAUCCACUUGGUAUCCAUACUCCCUACUCCCUAGUCUUCAAUUUCAUCAUCUCCCGUGGAGAUUCCUUCAGAAUCGGGAUCAAAUUUUGAUUUUGGUCCUUUUAGUUUUAGCAAAGUUUCACUUUGAAAUGUACAUAUGUAAGGUUUGACUUUUGUUUAUUUUUCUUAUUUAUUAUAAAACUGGUUAAGCGGUACGUUUUGGGUUCAAUUCUUGACGUUGGUGAAUUGCACGAUGGUGAUCAUGAGAGCGAAAAUGCUUUUGUGAGCCUUCUUAGCCCUAUGAAUGGUGGAUUGUCGUAGCGAAGUCAUCAAUUGAUCCUUUAACAAAAAAAAAAAAAGAACUAGCUAUUUUUUAUUUACACUAAGAGUUGAGAGUCGGCUAAGUUCAUAAGUUCAAAUUUGAUUUUGAAAAAAUUGAACUUAAAUCUUCUCACUUACGUAUAAAGAAAAAUAUUACUCGACAGUAAUAAAAUGUAAAAAGUGCACCAAAUACUCUUUAGCAUUGAUUAGCUUGAUUAAUUAACUUCCCGGAAAACUCUCCUUGAAGAUAUGUUAGGUAAACGACCAACCUUGUGAUGCCGGUCUUUAGAGAAAUUUUUAGUUGUGACGGAAAUAUAAGUGAUAUAUUAUGUGCUUUGAUAGGAAUGGUGGGAGAUUUUAUUUUUUAAGUUAUUAAAUUUUUAAUACACAUAAUCCACCAUUUAUUUAAUGACACAUGAUGUAAUAUCUCGUGUACCGGUCACAUUGAAAAAUAUUUCUUUAAAGCACUCACAAACAACCAACAUAAUUUCUAUGUAGACCCUAAUCUUUCUUUUGUACCCACCUCCACACCAGUGAACUUUUCUCCCGGGAAAAAAAAUUAAAAUAUAGAAAAGAAAAGCUCUUGCCUUUGGCUUUUUGGGGGAAAACAAAUUGGUUCGGAGAAAGAGAGAGAGAGAGAAAGAGAGAAAGAAAGAAACCGACUUUUUUCAGAAGCAGAUUAUGGGUUUAUGGAUGCAUUGCUUCAUAGUCAGCCGUAUCGACUUUUCUGCAAUUUCUCUUUAGAUUUCGAUCGAAAAGUUGCUUUUUUGCCACCCAAUUUCUCUACCACUUCUUUAACCCCGGAAAGUUUGGAUUUUUUUUAGUAAUCGUGGGUGUUUGAUGGAAAGGAAAAGGUUGUGAAGCUGCUGCCGACUCGCAGGAAUUCAAAGUUCAAAUUUUUAAUCGAAAGAUUAAGGAUUUGGGGGUGUUUGAUUUGAUUAAUGGGUCUUACAGUUCAUACCUCGUCACCAAAACGCGUUGCGUCACCGUGUUGAUUUCUUUAUUGGGUGAUUUCUUUUUUUGUUGUUAUCGUCGUCGUUGGUGUUACUUAUUACCUUCGCAAUCGGAUCUGCGUUUGGUUUCUCAGUCAGACAUUCUUCUGGGAAUCUUUGUUCAUCUGUUUGGUUGCCGAGAAAAUACCUCAAGAAAAGGUGAGAAAAAAAUAUAGAAUAAAACGAAAAUUUGAGUUUUUUGUCUUCUGGGUUAGCUGAAUACAUGCUUAUUAGUGACAUUUUUCUUCUGUUUUAUAUGAUUUCGAUUGCCAAAUGAUGGAAUAUCCAAGAUGUAAUCUUCCUGUUUUGUUUUUGUUACAUAUGUCGGCAAGUGACAGCAUAUAUUUGUUGAUAUAACCAAUUUGUUGACGUUGUUCUUUGUUUUGUCUUAUGAUAAAUGCAGAUCAGUUGUUGUUGCAUGUGAAAGGUUCGAUCUUGCUUUGUUAGAAUUGGGACUUUGUGCUAUUUGUGCAAAGAAGUUCGUGUGUUUUGAGGCCAUUGAUUACGAAAAUCUGUAGGAUCUUUUAGGUGUUUUGCAUUAGUAUGCUUUUGAGGGGAAAAGAGUAAGAUAGUUUGAAGGUCUUGGGCCUCCGGCAAAGACAGGGGUGAGGUAGUUAUGGCGUCCGGAGAUAGGCGUCAGCAUCAUAAUAUGGUGCCUCUGGCUGCAUUGAUCAGCAGAGAGCUGAAGAGUGAGAAGAUGGAGAAGCCAACUGUCAGAUAUGGGCAUGCAGCUCAAUCCAGGAAGGGGGAGGAUUAUUUCCUGAUCAAGACUGAUGGUCAGCGAGUACCCGGGAAUUCUUCAUCAGCAUUCUCCGCAUUUGCGGUAAGCCUAAGUCUCUCUUAUAUUUGCACUAGAUUAUAGAGCCAGAGCUUGGCAGCUCACCUCUGUUAUGGUGUUGCCCCAUGGUGAAUGUCCCAAAAGUUGAAUUCUACAUAUGAGUGCUUAACUCUAUAUAGGCUGUGAGCGAGAUAUUUUCCGAAAAUUUCAUGUACUGUUGGUUUAAUUAUGGAAUGAAGCUGUGUGCUCAAACCAAUUUCCUUUAGCUAUCAAAUAUACUGCAAAUCAAGUAUAAUAGUCACCGUUCUCUUUCUGAUUGUCAGAUCUUUGAUGGGCACAAUGGAAAUGCAGCAGCAGUAUAUACAAGGGAGAAUUUGUUAAAGCAUGUGUUGGGUGCUAUUCCCCGUGGGCUAGGAAGGGAAGAGUGGCUCCAAGCUUUACCUCGAGCCUUGGUUGCUGGCUUUGUGAAGACUGAUAAGGAUUUCCAGAGCAGAGGUAUGGAAUUUACAAUUUGCUUAGUCUUUGUUCUUCUUUCUGGUUUUUCUCAUAUUUUUCAGCACAAAUGUACUAAUUCUUUCUACUCUUAUUUCGUGGCCAGGUGAAACUUCUGGAACAACAGCUACCUUUGUAAUAGUUGAUGGAUGGACCGUGACAGUUGCAUCAGUAGGAGACUCCCGUUGUAUCUUAGAUACUCAGGGUGGUGCUGUUUCCACCUUAACUGUUGAUCAUAGACUUGAAGAAAAUGUAGAGGAGUAUGUAUCUACUAAAAUUCACUAACAUUCCUCUCUUUUUAUUGUUCUGUGGAUUUGUUAAUUGAAUAUUUUCUUUGUAAUUGUAGGAGGGAGCGUGUUGCUGCAAGUGGUGGGGAAGUUGGGAGGUUGAGCAUUGUUGGUGGUGCAGAGGUGAGGGCUUUUAGAUCUUUUUGCUUUAUUUUCCUGACGAAAACAAAGAAAGGAACACUUCUGUGGCUGAGUCUUAAUUAAAAUAUGUUUUUCAUUGUGUAAUAUAUGUUGUUUUGACAUUUACAGAUUGGACCCCUCCGUUGUUGGCCAGGGGGUUUAUGCCUUUCUAGAUCAAUUGGAGACAUGGAUGUUGGCGAGUUUAUAGUUCCAAUACCAUAUGUGAAACAAGUCAAGGUAUCUUUCUCUGCGUGGAACUUCAAUUUUUAACAAGUUUUUAUUCAAUUCAAUGCCAGGUAUUGUUUAACCUGAAAGCUAACAUUCUUAUAUUGUUUUAAAAGCUUUCAAAUGCUGGUGGGAGGCUUAUUAUUGCUUCUGAUGGCAUCUGGGAUGCUAUAUCUUCCGAAAUGGCAGCACAUUCUUGCCGUGGGUUGCCAGCUGAACUUGCUGCCAGACAAGUUGUGAAGGUUGUUUGAACUACUUGGCCAUUUUCUUGCAAUAUGCACGUUAACCUCAAAGGCUAGAACUCUUUCUUAUUGAUGGUGGAUUUUGUUGUAGGAGGCGUUAAGGUCUAGGGGUCUAAAGGAUGAUACAACCUGCAUAGUUGUUGACAUAAUCCCUCCUGAUAUUACCGAACAGCCUUCAACUCCGCCAAAGAAGAUUAACAAGCUUAGGACCCUGUUGUUCAGAAAGAAGUCGCGUGAUUCUGCUAAUAAACUAUCCAAGAAGCUAUCGGCUGUGGGUAUUGUGGAAGAGUUGUUUGAAGAAGGGUCUGCGAUGCUUGCUGAAAGGUAGCUGAUUCCCUCUCACUCAAUUUAGUUGAUUCGAUGCAAAUUUUCUAGAAAAGUUUCACACUGCGGUUGUCUACUAAAUUUGAAAAGAAAAUUUUCAAUGAUGUCAUUAACUUUAGUCUUGUUUAGGAGAUCGAAGUGGGAGUUUCAUAUAUAGUUAUCAGAAACCUUUAUUUUUGAGUUGGAAGUUUCAAUUUGCCUGUUGGCUUCUGGUGAAAUGUGGUAUUUUGGUAUUGUGUAUUUGGUUACAUCUCAAAAUGAUUAUAUCCUGUAAAUGUGUUGCAGGUUGGGCAGUGAUGAGUGCACACCACAAUCGACAACAUCUGGGCUAUUCAUGUGUGCUGUAUGCCAGGUUGACCUUGCUCCGAGCGAGGGCAUAUCGGUUCACGCAGGUUCUAUCUUCUCAACCAGUUCAAAGCCUUGGCAAGGGCCGUUCCUCUGUUCUGAUUGUCGUAACAAGAAGGAUGCCAUGGAAGGAAAACGCCCUAGCGGAGUCAGAGUAGCAUAGGUAGCUUGUGCAUUGUUUCGCCACCAUUCUUUUUAACCCGGUAUUCCCAUUUUUUUGUAAUCCGUCUUCGUAGGCCAGCCAAUAUUGUUUGAAUCUUUUACUCUAGUGAUGCAUGUAAUGUAUAUGUAAAUUUGAUAAAUAAUUUGAAGUGAGUUUCAGAAGUUGAGGAAGGUCUUGUGCAAGGAAACCUCAUUUGAUAAAGUAAGUAAAUAAAUGAACGGAAGUGAUUUUCUUUUGAUUUAUUCAAUCCUGUUAGGAUGUAGAGUAGGGUUUCACAGCCAAACGUUCGUUCCUCUCAAUCAUUCUCCGUUGUAUACUGCCACAAACGUUUUGCAAAACCAUGGAAUUGAGGAUUUCCAAUUGGGAAGCCAAGUUCGACGAGUUCAAGAAGUCUCAAGAAGAAUUCAGGAUUUCUGAGGCCAAAUUUCGGACCGAAUUCAAGACUACCACUGAUUCAAUUCUUAUUCAAUUGAAGUUGCUCGCGGCCUACAUCGACGCAUCAGCCGUUCAUCAAAUCUACAUCUCCUCUCUCUCUCGAGAGAGAGAAAUCGAAUCAAAUUGUUCUCAAGCUUCAAUCCUUCCACAUGGAAAAGGUUCGAGCCCGAGAGAAAGUGGAUGAAUUCUUGUCUCAGUACCAUCCAAAAUACAAGCCCAAAAGUCAUCCUUGUUUUCGUCCAACAUUAAAAAAGUUCAAGAAGGUUCGAUGUUCUCAUCAAUGUUCCGAAUUUUCGUCGUAUCAGCCACUAAAGCGUGAGGAUCGUGAUCGUGGUAACAAGUCUCAUCCCUGUUCUGUCUCCGAAAAAAUUGAAGGUCAUGAUAUGAUUCAAGGAUUUCUUAAAGAUGAAACUUUGGAAUUUGGGUGCAAGAAAAUCUGGGUUACUGAAAUUGGAGAAGAAAUCUACCCGUUCAGGUCGAAACCAGCGACUAUUCUUGAAUUUGAUUGUAAGAGUGGCAAAUUCCAAGUUUUCAUUUUGGAAAUUCAUGUUUCUAAUGUUGAGUUUAAGAAAGCUAAAUUGCCUGGUUCACGCGCACUCUACCCGUUUGACAAAAUGUCGAACUCAGGUUACAUUCUUGAUAUUAAACUUGGCUACCAUACGAGCAUUCGUGAUAAAGGAGGUACCAACUUUCUCUCCAGUUUAGAGUCAAUGGAUUUAUUGGUAAGCUGUGAGGACUCAAGUUUCUGUGUUGUUAGCGAUCGUUCCAUGGGCUAUUACUACAAGGGUGGGACAAUUAGUCAAAGGCUCUUCAAUUCGAAGUCCAAGAAUAAAGAUUAUGUUCUGGGUUCUGAUUGUUCCAAGGUGGUCAAAUGUGAGGUGAGUUGUGAUUCCUCCAUGAUCAUUGAUGGGGAAGAUGCUGGUUAUUUGGGAUUGCAUCAUUUAGAAACUUGUAUAGACAAGAACAGAAAAAAUGGAAGUAAGUUCACCUUCUCCAGAUUUGAAACUAGUUUCUGUGUUGUUGUCCAUUGUGACAUGUGCUAUUGUAAGGGCAUUCGGGAUAAGGGUGGAGGCUCCAAAUUCUGGAAGAGCGCUGAUGAUGAGGAAAAGAUGGUGAAUUUGUAUUUUAAUCGGAUUGGUCGGCCUAGUUCUAUGCCUAUAAACGAGAAUGAGUCAUUUGUGAAAAAUGUUAUGCAAAAGAAGAAAAUGGCAAUGGAUGAGUUUCUGAUGUCAGAAAAAUUGACUUUACGACCUGGAGUUGAAGGGUUUGUUGAUGAUGCAUACAAGGAAGGGAUUCAUGUGGUUGUAUUGACAACUUAGAGUAAGAGUGGGGAUCAAAUUGGCAGAUCAAUUCUUGAAAAGCUUGGCGAGGAAAGAAUUUCAAAGCUAAAGAUUGUCGGAGAUAAGGAGGUUGACCUGAGUUUGUAUACCCAACUAGUAAAUGAUACAGGAUUAUCGUUUGGUGUGGAUGAGCAACUAGCUAAGGAGGCAAUAAAAGCAGUUUCCGCUGAGAAACAAAGGAUUGCAGAGGAGGUGGGGUCUAUGCUACAGCUAAGUGUAAAUAUCGAUACUAGCCCGCCUGAAAGCUUAUCAUUGCCGCAUUCCGAGUUGGGGGAGAAGUUGCUGGACUACAUGUAUGUGAUUGUGUUCUUAUUUCAAAUACUCAUUUCUCUUGUCUAAAUGAAUCUGGAAAUUAUAUUGAUUGUAGCGAAGAUGGAAUGAUUGGGGUGGUGAUGUUGGUUGCAUAUACUACUUGCAUAGUUGUAGGUGGAGUAUUUUGUAGUACGUAUAUUGAGUUGAGCAGGGCAGGGAAGAUGACAUUCCCCAUUGUUAAUGAUCUUGGAACAACGUAAAUCUGAUCGUGAAUCUGCAAGUAAUGUAAAUAACACAAGAUGUAUCGUGGUUUACCCCAAGAUUUGGGUUACAUCCACACUGAUUGUAUUUCUCUGACUGUAUGUAUGGAUUACAAGGGUGAGGGGGAGUCCCCCCAGAAAAAGAGAGUGUUGUUGUGUUUGUGAGGGUAUUGCCCUAUGUUGGGUUUUCUUUGUCCUCUUUGUGAGAGGGAAGAGUCCCCUUUUAUAGAAUAAGGGGCUCAUUUUUUUACAUAAUCAUAUGGGCUGGGUAAUGAGGCCCAAUAUGUGUGGUACCAAUAAUAGUCCCUCAAGUCUUUAGUCAAGAGAGUCUUUUGGCUGGAGACUUCAAAUUCAAUCCAUGUACGGGCCGAAGUGGCUAGAUGUCUUGAAUUAGUACUCAACACAAGGCAAUGCUCAACAUAAAACAAUACUCGGCUAGAGGUAUCACACGUUACGAGACUGCUCGGCUGGAGGCGAUGCUUGUUGCGAGGCUGCUCGGCUAGAGGCUAUGCUCGCGGCGAGGCGUUUGCUCGGCUGGAGGCGAUGCUCGUUGCGAGGCGACUCGGCUAAAGGCUAUGCUUGCUGCAAGGCGGCUCGGCUUGUGGUAUUCCUCAUUGCAAGUAUAUACUUUAUGUCGACAUGCACUCAGUAUGAGUUGAUUCUCGACAUGACUCGGGUCCACAUGUCGGGUUCGCAUAUUGGUCUAUGUGUCGGAUCCGCGGAUUGGGUCUGCAGGUCGGGUCUUUGAGUCGGGGCCAUACGUAGGGUCAUCGAGUUGGGGCUAUCUGUAGGGUCAUUAAGUUGGGUCCAGGCACAUAGGUGUCCCAAUAAGCGAAUGUCCGAGCAAAUGGGUGUCUGGUCAAACAAGAGAUCACCAUGAGCACGUGGCUCAUCAGUCUAUAUGUUGGUAGACUUCUUUAAUAAGCAACAAUGUUGAUCAGUGGAUCUAGUUGUUCAAUAAUUCCUGACAAUAAAUGACAAUAUAAGUACGAUCGUAUAAUGAAUAAAUCAAUUUGACAAAGUUUGUCAAGGCAAAAUAUUGUACUAUGUGCCUUCUAUAAAUAAAUAAUUUAUUCAGCCAUGUGAUAAGUGACAUGUUGCAUAAAUCAACAAUAUAUUAGGUAUUGCCUAAAUGUGUAGGUUAUUAAAAAUAUAUAUAUAUAUAUAUAUAUAUAUCUUAGCCACAAUGGGGAUAUAAAAUGGCAGGCAGUUUCAUUAGGUGCCCUAAUCAUCACAUAUUGUAUUCGUCUGUAACUGUGCAUGUCAUGUGACACCACACACCAUCACUCUCUACAUGUACUUAUAUAUAUAUAUAUAUAUAUUAUCACGGCUGACAAGGCGUGGCAGAAAUAAUUAAAGUGGAAGCUAAUAAUGAAAAGGGUUAGGAAAAGUGUUCUUAUCUGUGAGUUUUUUUUCUUUUUUCUUUGUAAGAGUGGUUGAUAGCUGCCUGUUGUUGUUGGUUGGUCACUGCGCCUACUUGAGAGCUCAUCCUUUUCUUUUCUUUUUUUUUUAUUAUUUUCUUUCCACUGCGCAUUUGUCAGCAUUUUGGUUGAAAGAUCCACUUUGAUCCGUUUUGGUUGAAAGAUCCACCACAGAUAAUCACCCUCACCACUCUCUCAUUAUUUUCCUCAGUGACGUAGUCACACCAUGCACAUACAUACAUGGCAUAACUUCUAAAUAUUUCCCUCAGCAGGCAUAGAACUCGACUAACUCGUCCAUUGACUCGGGUUGUGGAUUUGUCCCAGCUAAUCUCGGUAUUGCCAAUGGAGGCUGUUAUGGACGUCGCUCCAAAUCGAAAACCACUGAACUCUCUCACCCUCCUCAAAACCUAGACUCCGCAGCCAUCAUCUUAUCUGGCUCGGCGAUGCAGGCCCGCCCGAUCGAGUGAUCAAGCUACUCCUCGUCCUCUUCCACUCGGCUGGUGUCAUCGACAAGCACUGCCCGCGCCUUGAGCGUCACGGUGCAGAGAGGACUUUGGCGUAGGAGAAUCGUAGCCGGAGAACGGCUCGAUGGGUCGAGAGCUCGGCUUUGGAGCCGUCGAAAAAGAGAUUCUCUUGGCGGUGCGUGGCGAUGAGGAAUAGCUCCAGGAAGAUGGUGACUUAGCGGUGAACGAGGGUUGUAAUUUUGGGCUCUCUCUAGGUGUUACUUGCCAGAUGAUAUGGGUUGCGGAUUCUGCUGCAUUAGAGAUUGAAGAACACAUGGGAACAUUUACUUUCAUAUCCUCCAUUGGUGUUAAAUAUAGGAGAGAGAAAGUGGUGUUGGAGUUGAAAAGAUGAGGGGUUAAGAUGAAGCUGCAAGAGAAGAAGGAGAUGAAGAUGAGAUAGAGAAGCUUGGGACUUGUUCUCUUGUAAUUAUAACCAGAGUUUGCAAACUCCAUUAGAAAGGUAGUGGUCAGUGAGUCUUCAUCUUUCUCUACUGCGGCACAAGGCUUGUCAACUUUUCCCCACUGGUGGUGAUGCCGCUGAUACCGCCCCAUUAUUUCUUAUGCACCAAAAAAGAAAACUUUGAUCUUUAUUUUUUCCUUUCCCCUGUUUUUUCUGCUUUCUGGGUUUUGUAGAGAGAGAGAGAGAGCUCUAUGAGGAUGAGAGCUCUCUGAAUGUGAGCUUUCUGUGUCUGUGUCUCUGUGUGGGUUUUUGCAGAUUCACGGCGGAAGUGAAAAACUGAAAGAGAACCGACACAACUUUUCGUAUCGUUUCCCACAAACUGCGCCAAAUGUUGAUACACAAAAUCGGAGGUUCUGGAACAACGUAAAUCCGACCGUGAAUCUGCAAGUAAUGUAAAUAACACAAGAUGUAUCGUGGUUCACCCCAAGGUUUAGGCUACGUCCACACUGAUUGUAUUUCUCUGACUGUAUGUAUGGAUUACAAGGGUGAGAGGGAGUCCCCGGAGAAAGAGAGUGUUGUUGUGUUUGUGAGGGUAUUGCCCUCUGUUGGGUUUUCUUCGUCCUCUUUGUGAGGAGGGAGGAGUCUCCUUUUAUAGAAUAAGGGGCUCCUCCUUUUACAUAAUCAUAUGGGCUGGGUAAUGAGGCCCAAUGUAUCAAAGUAUGAGGCCCAAUAUGUGUGGUACCAACAAUAUGGUUCAUAGCUUUCACAUGCAGAAGAAGCUUCCAUUUGCAGAUCAAAUUCUUUAGGUUUUUCAGUUUCAAGCCUUGCUGCAUGGCUCAUUUUAUGGGGGGAAACCAAGAGAGGAAAUAAGCAGCAAAACAUCAAAGAUGCAGAACCCAGAUAGAACAGAAAACUAUCUUGUUUGCAGAUAUUGUCAAGCUUUGAAUGUGGAGGGUACUCAAUUAGAUGAGUGUAGUGUUUCAGUUCAUACUUCAUUUUCAUGUUCCAUGUUCUUGCCCAAAAAAGCAUUUGGGACCACAAGUACAAACCACAGUGCCAUUGCCAGUUAUCACAGAUGCUGGGAAUUUGCAAGAUGCACCAGUUGCAAUCUUAGACAAAAGAACAAUCAAGAAAGUGUUGCGGCUACUAAAGCCUUAGUCAAUGGCAAAACCACUCCAAACAUGAUGUUACAUGGGAACUAUACCAUGAACUCAAGCUUAAGUUCCAGAAAUUGUGAACUUUUAAUACAUUCUUGUGAUUGUGUUGUUCCUGGUUUUAUUGCUGGUUUUCAAUUGUACUUGGUUCGAAAUUGUAAAUCUUGUAAGAUUGGUUUUAAGGGGGGUAUUGUUAGGAUGCCAGAUGGCAUCAUCUUGUGGUGACAAUCAGAGUUACGUAUUAGCAUAAAUAGUACAUUGUAAGAGAAGAAAGGCAGUUAAUGAAAUUGUAUUGUUGUUCUCAUGUUCUGUUACCUAUCUCUCUGUGCAAUUGUGGAAGAUGUAAAGUAGGGUUCUAACAAAUCCUAGGGUUGGAAAACAGAAACACGAAAUAAAUGCACGGAAGUGAUUUUCUUUUGAUUUAUUCAAUCCUAGGGCUAGAAAUGUUGUGUUUGGCUCAUACAUUUGUGAGUAAUUAUGAGUCAUGUGUUAACAACAAUGAAGUGAACUGUGUUUGCUUUCGGUGGAAAUAUCACAUGGCGUGGGUUGCAUGAAAAUUGCAGACAAAGUAAAAGCAAAAGUUUGGUGGACAUCAUCAUGAGUAAAAACAUAAUGAUGAUGCUUGCUUUUACUUUAAUGAUGAUGUUUGUGGAAAAAGGGAAAGUUGAUUCCUUUUUCUUUUGCUAUUUAUUUUGCUAAGAACCGAAGGGAGAGAGAGAGAGAUUUGGCUCUCUCCUGAGGCUCUCUCCUGAGAAGACAUCAGAGAGCAUCCAAAGGGUGAGAGCAUUCGGCUCUCCCAUGGGAAAGCAUGGGCACGGGUGAGAAAAUCAAGAGAGCUAGAGUGAAAAGUAUUAUAGUGAAAGAACUCUUGGGAUAGAGUGAGGUUCUUGGGAAAAUUCUAUGAGUGGGUGUGCAAGAGAUUUGGGAUUGGGUUAUGUUGAUUUAACUCAUGUGUACUUGUACUGUUAUUCUCAUAGUGAAGAGCAAUAUCUCUCCGGGGACGUAGGCAGGUUUUUGCCGAACCUUGUAAAUUUCUCGGUGUCUUUAUUUCUUGUAUUUUAUUCUGUUCAACUGAGUGUGAUUUUGGUGAGGUUGUAAUCUGAAUUUCGUUUCCACAUUGACAAACAGGCCAAGGCACAACAAGAAAACAGAAAAACACGAUAGUGAGCAGGUGGAGAAAACUGAAGUGCGAAAAACACUUCCAUAUUGUACGCUGAAUUUUCCAAGUCAAGUCUUGAUUCUAUAUUGUCUGCUGCAUAUGAAAUUUCCAAGUAAAGUAGCGUGUUGAUUAGAAGUCUCUGAAUCAACCAUACAUGCUGUGAAGAAAUAGUACAAGUAGGUUAUCUGAGAGCUCUGAGUUUCUUUCCUCUGUUCUCUCCCACUCUUCAAAAGCAGUGCACAUCCUCCUGAAUGCGGAUUGUUCACUUUUGAUUGUUCUGACCAAAUUGGUCCGACGAUCCAACUGGAAGAGGGAGCAUACUCGCUUGAAUUCGAAGGCACUCUAUCAUCUUCGAUUCACAGAGCUGCAGGAGCCUCAACGAUGAAGUUUUCGUCGAGAGUCUUCUUAUGAUCUCUCACUCUCUCUCUCUCUCUCUCUCUCUAAAAUUUACAAUGAAUCAAAACGUCUGUAUUCUCCUCCUCAUGAUUUUUGUCCUGUCAUCUGAAACGUCAUUGGUUUUGGCUGUGAACUUUUUCUACCAAAACUGCAGUGUGCCCAUUACUUGUGGCAGCCAAGACAUUAGGUAUCCAUUCUACAUCCAAGGCAAGCAACAACCCUUUUGUGGGUAUCCUGGUUUCGAGCUCUCCUGCCAAGGCGGAGAUGAAGACGGAGAAGCCUACCCAAUUCUCCAUUUGUCUGGUAACGAUUACAUAAUCCACAACAUCAGUUACCAAACCAGUUCUCUUCUUGUCUCAAAUGCUCUGCUUUCACACUACCUAAACAACUCUGCUUGUACUAACCUGUCGUCAAUCAACAACUUAACCCUCCCUAAUGAUCAGUUUAAUCUGGCUCCAAACCAAGAUCAAUUCUUUCUGCUCUACAACUGCAACUCUUCGUUUGUCGAUUCUUUUCCAAAGUACAAGAUUGGUUGUAAUAACACUUCGGUUCUUGCUGUGCCUCGGGAUGAAUACCCUGAAGUUGGAAAUGUCCUGCAGUCCCAAAAGUGUGGAUCGAGUGAGGUGGCGGCAGCGCAUGGUGGAGGGUACGGGAAUGUUGAGGCAGCGGGAAUGAAGGAGGUGUUGGGGAGAGGGUUUGAGAUGACGUGGAAGGCAGUCGACUGCAGCCGCUGCUAGAGUAGCGGAGGGUUAUGUGGGUUUAAUUACACCACCUACCAUUUUAGGUGCCUCUGCCACAGUACGACUCAUUCUGUGCGCUGUAUGGACGAAGAUGACGAAGGUGGAAACUUGGUGGCUAAAGUCUCCAUAGGUAAUUACAACUUUAUUGCAUUAACCCUCUUGCUUAGAUUUGUUUUCCUAAGUUUAUAUGUUGUAAUAAGGUUUAUAGCCACACGGGAUGCCUACCAUUCGAUCGAACACAUCACUAUAUUUUCAACGUAUAUUCAGCAGGUGCAGGUGCAGGUGCUGGUCUCAUAUUUCUAAUCGUUAUCGUUUGCUGCUUAAGGGGAAAGUUAUCAUCAUAUAGAUUUCUGUUCUUUUGGAAGAAGCAAAACCAAAAUCUUCAAAUUGUAGAGGCCUUUCUAAGGAGCUACGGGCCGUUACAAGUACGAAGAUAUAGCUUUUCGGAGGUCAAGAAAAUGGCCAACUCCUUCAAAGAAAAAUUAGGACAAGGAGGCUGUGGUGCUGUUUACAAAGGAAAGUUAAAGGACGGCUGUCUUGUAGCAGUGAAGGUCUUGACCAAACUAAAAGGAGAUGGAGAAGAAUUUAUGAAUGAAGUGGCAGCCAUUAGUAGAACUUCCCAUGUCAAUGUCGUCACCUUGUUAGGCUUUUGUUUUGAGGGUUCCAAAAGAGCUCUCAUCUAUGAAUUCAUGUCUAAUGGAUCUCUCGAGAAAUUCAUAUUUGAUGCAAGUACUCCCAACGUAGGUCAUGAUCACUUGGGAUGGGAAGCAUUGGAUCGAAUUUCACUCGGCAUUGCUCGAGGGUUGGAGUACUUACAUCGUGGUUGCAACACAAGAAUUUUGCAUUUAGACAUCAAGCCUCACAACAUUCUUCUCGAUGAAAACUUCACCCCAAAAAUCUCGGAUUUUGGCCUUGCCAAAAUAUGCAACAGCAAAGAUAGUAUUGUGUCGAUGUUGGGAGCAAGAGGUACAGCAGGUUACAUUGCUCCAGAAGUAUUUUCUAGAAAUUUUGGAGGGGUCUCACACAAGUCGGAUGUGUACAGCUACGGAAUGAUGCUUUCAGAGAUGAUUGGAGGAAGACGGAACAUCAAUGUUGAAGCUGAUAAUACAAGUGAAAUAUAUUUUCCGCAUUGGAUUUACCAGCGUCUUGAGCUGAACAAAGAGCUUGGUCUGCAAAGCGUUAAGAACGAGGAAGACAAAGAAAGGGCGAGGAAGAUGAUCAUAGUGAGCUUGUGGUGCAUACAAACUAAUCCUUCAAACCGGCCGGCGAUGAAGGAAGUGAUAGAUAUGUUGGAAGGGAGUGUUGAUUCGUUGCAGAUACCACCCAAGCCUUACUUGUCUUCUCCUCCAAAAUCCCCGGCAGAUUCUUCUACCACAUUGGUAUCAAUACAGUAGAAUCCCUGUAUUUUACUUGAACAAAUCUGUGUUUUUCUGAGGCAAUCUAAAUAAUGAAGUAUGCAUUUCAUUUUUGUUUUUGUUUUUUUUUUGUUUUUCUAUAGAUGAAUGAAUCAAGACACUUGUAGUGACCCUCCUACUACGCGUCCCGCAAUCAUAUAUAUAUUCAAAACAAAAUGUGUGAAACAUUUGCAUUUGUGGAUACGUUCUUCCCUCUUGCCUCGUCUCCUACUUACACCAUCAAAUCGCUAGAGAAAAUGAGUCACAUGUAAGACCCUUAAUCAUAAUCACCAAGACCAAAACAUGAACUACAACUUAGAGAAAUAUUCAACUUAUGUAUCUGAGAAACACAGGAAGAAGAACAUACCUGCACUUGUAGCAGAACCCGAAGCCAUAGCCGCAAACUUUCAGUGUACCUUCUCUUCUCUCGCAGGUUAUCAAGAGCUCGACUUAUAAAUAGGAUUAAGUCCAGAAUAUCAGCCUUUUACUGUGAGAAGAGAGGCCACUAUAUAUAUACAUAUAAUCUUUACCAUAACUGAUUAGGAUUCCCUAUCAAAAUCCAUGUAGGAAACAAAUCUUGUCUCCUUGUUCUGAUCUUCAUGCUGUACAGAAUCCCUCUUCAUAAGGGAUUAGCAUUCCUUUUAUUAUCAAGACUUUUCUAUCCAAUUGAACACAUAUAGCCGGUCCUAAAACUCCUCUAUCUCAUACUCAUAUUCUUACAUUCUCCCACUUGAGUAUGAGAACAGUUUUAAGUACUCAGCCAAGUCAAUUAUGUGCAGAUAGAAGUGAUCACUAGUCUUGUUAAUAAAAUUUCAAUCACAACCAGCUAUCAUACAUCUCAAAAUGCAGAACGCUUGUAACUGUAUUACCACAAUAAAGCAAACAGGUUUUCAAGAGUUACAGACAUUCAAUUUGUAUGCUCAACGUUGUGAACUUGAUCAAUAUCAGUAAUAAGCAAAAUAAUUUGCUCCCACUAUUUCAAAUCAUUGUCAGCAAGAUGUAAAACAAAUCUUUGCUUCAAAACAAUGCAUGAAUCAACAAUUCAUCACUAAAUGCUUUAAACGGAGAAACCAUUAUUAAAGCAACAAAUGAAUUAUAUCAAACUUUAUUUUGUUCGAAACAAUAGAUCAUCAUAACUGAUCUCAAUUCGAUAAAAUAAACAAAACAAACUAACAAACAUAAUACUAUCCAGCCAUAAGAUUUUAAAUUUGAAAUUUGAAACCUGUCUAUAUCACCACACCAGCUCUCUGAACUUCACAGCAGCGAAUAAACAGUCAUAAUAAGACUAACGAAUUACUCCCACUGAUCAAAGGAUUCAAGUAUUCCCAUCCGAGAGACAUGCGUUUUAAAUACUCCAAUCGGCAAUGCUUUAGUCAAAGGAUCCGCAAUCAUUGCAUUUGUGCUUAAGUGCUCCACCUGAAUUGCUCCUUCUCUAACCUUUUCUCGGACCUUAAGGAAUUUUACAUCCAUCAGUCUUGAAGCUGAAGUUCUCUUAUUGUUCUUGCUAAAAAAUACUGCAGAAUUGUUAUCACAAUACAUCAUGAUAGGCCUUUGCACAGAAUUUACAACUUUCAAAUCUGUCACAAAGUUUUUCAACCAUACAGCUUGUUUCAUUCCUUCAAAACAAGCUAUAAAUUCUGCCUCCAUUGUCGAUGUUGCGAUGAUAGUCUGUUUUGCACUUUUCCAGGAGACUGCACCACCACUUAGCAUAAAGAUAUAACCUCCAGUAGAUUUUCUAUCAUCUACAUCACCGGCUAAAUCAGAAUCAGUGUAGCCAACUAACUCCAAUAGCUCAUUCCUGCCAUAAACCAACAUAUAAUUCUUGGUUCUUUGCAAGUACCUCAAAACUUUCUUUGCUGCUACCCAAUGUGCCUCUCCUGGAUUUGCUUGAAACCUGCCCAACAUUCCAACUAUAAAAGCUAUGUCCGGUCUAGUGCAGAUAGUUAUAUACAUCAAACUUCCCACCAAUGAAGCAUAAGGCUUAUUCUUCAUUUUAUCUAUCUCCAUAGGCGUCUUGGGACAUUGAGCCUUUGAGAAUCUGUCUCCCUUGUUGACUGGUACUUCACCAUUACUGCAGCUUGACAUAUUGAACCUCAUGAGUACCCUUUCUAUGUAUCCCUUUUGUGAUAAACCGAGUAAAUUCCUUGAUCUAUCUCGAACAAUUUCAAUACCAAGUACAUAGUGUGCUUCACCAAGGUCUUUCAUUUCAAAAUUCUUACUGAGCAUGGUCUUAGUGUCUUUAAGCAGCUUCAUAUUAGAACUGGCAAGGAGGAUGUCAUCGACAUACAACACUAAAAAUAUAAAAUUAGUGCCUGAAAAUUUAACAUAGAUGCAAUCAUCUAAUUUGUUUUCCACAAAACCUUGCCUUGUAACUACUUGAUCAAACUUUAAGAACCAUUGUCUUGAUGCCUGUUUAAGCCCGUAGAUUGACUUGUUAAGUUUACAAACCAUGUCUUCUUUCCCCUUUUCAACAAAUCCAGGAGGUUGCUUCAUAUAAAUGUCUUCGGCCAGCUCACCAUUAAGAAAGGCAGUUUUAACAUCCAUUUGAUGCAGUUCCAAAUUGAAAUGAGCAACAAGUGCCAUUAUGACCCUCAUAGAAUCUUUGGAAGAGACGGGAGAAAAGGUGUCAUUGUAAUCCACCCCUUCCCUCUGAGUGAAUCCCUUGGCAACUAACCUUGCCUUGUACCUUUCAAUAUUGCCGUGAGCAUCUCUUUUGGUCUUAUAAACCCAUUUACACCCAAUAGCCUUGAAUUGAGGAUUGGAAUCCACUAAUGUCCAUACUUCGUUUUUGGACAUCGACUCCAAUUCCUCCUUCAUUGCACUGUGCCAUAAGGAUUGUUGAGAACUAUUCAUGGCCUGAGAAUAAGUGAGAGGGUCAUCCACAUCGCCAAAAUCAAACUCAUGCUCCUGCAAAUAAACAUAGUCAUUUGACAUUGUGGUUUUUCUGAUUCUUGAAGAUUGUCUCAAUGGUAAUGUCGGAUCAUGGAGAACUUCAGUGCUCGGAUUCAUUGGUGCAUCAUUAGUUGGAGCUGGAUCCCCUUGUUGUUGUGGUUGGGACCCAAGAUCAAUUUCCAUUCUGUCAAUAUUUUCUGGACAGUCUAAGUGUUCUUCCUCCAAUUCAAUCAUGGAAGCAGGAGUGAUCAACAUUUCUUUGUAAGAAUUACUGCAAAAAAACUUCUCAUUUUGAUCAAUCUCUUCAAAAAUGAAACUGCCCUGUGAUAAGUCUGCAAUAUCUUGAUCUUCAAAGAACCUGGCAUUGUGAGUUUCAUGAAUCCUGGUGUGAGCUUGAGGACAAUAAAACUUGAAGCCUUUAGAUUUCUCUGAGUAGCCAAUGAAGUAGCAUGAUUCUGUCCUUGAGUCCAAUUUCUUCUCAUUUGGAUUGUAAAUUCUAGCCUCAGCUUUACAUCCCCAAACAUGGAAAUGACUAAAACUGGGCUUCCUGCCAUUCCAGAUUUCAAAAGGUGUUGAUGAAACCGCUUUGCUCGGAACUCUGUUCAGUAUAUAAGUGGCUGUCUUCAAUGCUUCACCCCAUAGGAAUCCUGGUAACUUUGAUCUUGUCAUCAUGCUUCGUACCAUUCCAAUCAGAGUUCGAUUCCUCCUUUCUGAAACUCCGUUUUGCUGUGGUGUUCCUGGUGUAGUGUAUUGAGCAACAAUGCCUUGUUGUUCAAGAUAAAGCGCAAACGGACCCUUGUGUUGUCCAGCCUCACUGUACCUGCCAAAAUACUCUCCUCCUCUAUCCGAUCUAACAAUCUUAAUGGUCUUGCCUAACUGUUUUUCUACCUCAGUUUUAUAAACCUUGAAAUAAUCUAGGACAGAUGAUUUCUCACUGAUUAAAUAAGUGUAACAAAACCUUGAAAAAUCAUCAAUAAAGUUGACAAAAUAAGAAUUACCGCAAAUAGUUUUGGUUGGAAAAGGACCGCAGAUGUCAGUGUGUAUAAUCUCUAGCAAAUUCUGACUCCUUUUGGCAUCUAACUUUCUAGAAUUAGUCAUCUUCCCUUUUGCACAAUCAACACACUCAAUUGCAGUAGCAAGAUUUAAUUCAGGGAUCAACUGAGCUUUGGACAGUUUUAAAACUCUUUCUUUGGAUAUGUGGCCUAACCUCUUGUGCCAAAGGAGGAAAGAAUCAUCACUGCAGUGCAUCCUCUUAGUGCUGAUGUUUAAAACAUGUUGAUUUGGGGACUCCAAAGUACAAUUUAGACACCACAGAUUGUCACUUAAAUAUGCAGUUCCCAAAACACAAUCUAGGUGGUUCUUUUCAAAAAAUUUUAAACUUUCAUCAUCACCUAGAAAGGCAAAACCAUCUUUGACAAUUCUUGAAGCAGAGAUCAGAUUUCUCCUCAUUUUAGGCACAUAAAGCACAUCCUUUAGUUUUAGUAUAAAACCAGAAGACAAUUUUAAACACACCAUACCUAUAGCUUCUACCGCAACUUUAGUACCUUCUCCCACAAAGACAUUAUAAUUUUUUAAAACCAGUUUGUUUUGAUUUCACAAAACCCUCCAAAGAAUUUGAAAUGUGAACUGAGCAACCGGUAUCAAACCACCAAGAAUUCACAGGGAUUUCAAUCAAAUUAGACUCAACACAGACAUUGACAUUUUCUACACCCUUACUUUUAAGAUAGUCCUGAAAAACUUGACAAUCUUUUCUUAAGUGUCCUUUAGUUUUGCAGAAAAAACAUCUGAGUUUGGCAAUAUUUUUAGUUUUGACCAUAAGAUUGCUAGAUCCCUUAAUAGAGUCUUUUACUUUGGCAGAUGCAGUAGACUUAAAAGAGGUUACCUUGGUAUUGUUGUUCUUACCAGAGUGUCCAGAGAAUGAUUUGAAUGAUUUCUUCCCCUUGUCUGGUUGCACAAAAUUCACCGUUUCAGUUUCUUUCCCUCUUUCUUGCUUCUGUCUAGCCUCUUCUUGAACGCACUGUGCAAUUAGCUCAUCAACAUCCCAGUUCUUGUCUUGAGUGUUGUAAGACACCUUUAACUGACUAUAUUUGUUUGGAAGAGCUUGAAGGAUCAUGAAAACUAACUGUUUUUCACCAAUAUUAACAUCUAAAGAAUUUAAUUUCUCAGCUGCAUCAGUCAUUUUCAAGAUAUGGUCUCUGAUUGACCCUAUGCCAUCAAUCUUGUAUGUGGUCAGCAUUGCCAUAUAGUGACUGAUUUCUGCCUUUUGAGAUUCUUUGAACUUUCUUUCAAUUGCUUGUAAAUACUCAAUAGCUAGUUCAUGCUUCUUGAUUCCACCGCGAACAGUAUCAGUCAUAGCACUUUCAAGUAUAGAAAGUGCCACUUUGUUUGCUCUGACCCAUCUCUCUGCAUCAGCUUUCUCAGCCCUUGUACUUUGAUCAGUCAGAAUCGGCUUGGGAGUUUCAAGGGCUAUGUCAAAGUCAUUGAGUGUCAAUAAGAGCCCAAUCUCACGUCUCCAUUUCUUGUAGUUGCUUCCCCCUGUGAGAACAAGAAUGUUUGCCAAGUUCAUAGUCCGGAACGAUAUUGCAGAUGAUGAACCUGCAAUGAAAUCACAAUUUGAACUUAUUAGUUCCUGAUUUCAUCUCAACAUCACCUUGCACAUCAUGACUAUAAUCACAGACCCAUAUAUAUAGUCUUAAUCAACAAUCUGUUGAUAAGCAUACAUAGAGUGGAAUGAUUAAGCAAGAACUUGAAAAACGAUCCGCUGAUUUCUGCCAUAUAUCCUUAGACACCAAAUGGUUUGAUGGUGUCUCAUACAUGUAAAAGGCAUUUGAAAGUGAUCAAAGAAAGCACCGAAUGGUUAAUAAGGUCUGUAUCUCUACUUUAAAAGAUCAAAAUACAUCUGCAUAUGACUUACGUUUGCAGUCGAUGAACUGGGAAAGUAAACACAUUCAUCUUUACAUUUUACCAAAAGAUUCAAAGCAAUUAACAACAUACCUUUUAAUCUUUAUAACUCAAAUUCACGAAUCGGGCAGCGGAAGCGAUUUAGAAUUUGAAAAUAGAAGAUUUGAGUUUUGGAAAGGAAAAACCCAGAUCGAUGUUUAUGGAAGAAAGCAUUGCUUUCUUCAAUCUGGAAAACCUUCACUCGAUAAUAACUUAAUGGUUCCUUUGACGGUUCAUUAUUACCAACGCUUCUUUUAUUUCCUCCAGAACCGGACUUCGAUUCUUCGUAAGAGUAAAAAAACAUUUUUUUUUUUUUUUUUUUUAUAGUAACAUACAAAAUUUCUCCUUUACUGAUUGAAUUCAUGUUGAUAUGUCUUGUGGCUCUGAUACCACAUGUAAGACCCUUAAUCAUAAUCACCAAGACCAAAACAUGAACUACAACUUAGAGAGAAAUAUUCAACUUAUGUAUCUGAGAAACACAGGAAGAAGAACAUACCUGCACUUGUAGCAGAACCCGAAGCCAUAGCCGCAAACUUUCAGUGUACCUUCUCUUCUCUCGCAGGUUAUCAAGAGCUCGACUUAUAAAUAGGAUUAAGUCCAGAAUAUCAGCCUUUUACUGUGAGAAGAGAGGCCACUAUAUAUAUACAUAUAAUCUUUACCAUAACUGAUUAGGAUUCCCUAUCAAAAUCCAUGUAGGAAACAAAUCUUGUCUCCUUGUUCUGAUCUUCAUGCUGUACAGAAUCCCUCUUCAUAAGGGAUUAGCAUUCCUUUUAUUAUCAAGACUUUUCUAUCCAAUUGAACACAUAUAGCCGGUCCUAAAACUCCUCUAUCUCAUACUCAUAUUCUUACAUCACAAACGGCCAAAUUCGUCAUGACGUUUUACUAAAUUAAUUUCCAACGUUAGUACUAGGAGAUGCUUUUCAGCUAUGAAGCUGUUCGGUGAUCACACAAAUAAGAAGACCCGAGAGCAUGGCGGAACGCAACAUGUUUCACGACGCGACGAGUGAAAACUGAACAGUCGAUCCUUUCCGUAAUCUGUGUGGUUCAGAGGGGUUGCAAGGAUUUUUGAAUGACGAGAAUGGUUUGAAGAGUCGGGAUCAAAGUAUUUCCGGUGUUGGUCAAUGGGGAAGUUUGAGAAGGAAACUCCCCUAAUAGACCGUGGAAGUCUUCUAGUCAAGCAACAUUUUACAUGGUUAGUUCCCGCGAGUUUUCCAAUCUCCCAAAUUCCAAGUCAACUGGCGUCUUAAUAUACUGCAAACAAAGAAUUCUGAACCUCUAUACAAUUCAGCAAUCUUAUUCUGAAUUAGAGGAGGAGUAGAUCUUAUUUUUCUUCCUCUGCGGGUGUUUUCUUCUUGUUGAUCAACUCAGAAUUUUCGGAUGGCUCCGGUGGCUUCUCUCCGUUCUUGCUCACAUUGUGGUUCUGCACUCUGCUGAAUAUUCAGAUGUGGAACCCUCCAAACAUUCUCAAGCCCAAUUCUGCAGUGACAUAGCUGGCACCAUCAGAUUCCCCUUCAAAAGCAUGGGAGAUCCUCCCGGAUGCGGAUAGUUCACAGUCAAUUGUUCAGUAGCCUCUCGGCCAAAUAUCCAAUUGAAAGAGGGGGAUACUGCAUGAAUUCGAAGGUCCUUUAUUAACUACGAUUUUUAUCAAAAACAGUCUCCUUGCCGACCGCUUUAGAAAGGAUCGCUGCAAUGACGGAGUUUUCGACGACUUGAGUCUUCCCAGCGCUUCUCCAAUCCCUGACGCAGUAUUAUUCACACACACUCUGACCCUUUUCAAAUGCAACACCACCUUAGACAAAAAUUCUUAUCCAC
rnacentral:lncRNA from 1 species